rnacentral:lncRNA from 1 species
UGGAACUUCAUAUUAGCAAUUAUUCAGACAGUACAGCUUCAGCGACAGGCAAUUUCAGUAAUUGUCACCUCAUUUAGAGAACAAUGUCCAUCUUCUACGUCUAAUGCUAUAUCAGGAUUAUUGUCAGAUUUUCUAAAGAGGAAUGCAGGUUGUUUUGGAGAAGGAAUCUCUGUUUCGUUACUCAACAUAAAAACAACCGCUAACAUAGAUGGUCUGUCCGUGGCAUCUUCUUGCACGCACAGUAGACCAAUUUGUAAGCAUUUCAAGGCUUCACGUGGAUGAUACAACUCCUUCAGUGAUGGAUCAACUAUCUCCAAUGCUUUGUCUUGUCUCCAUAAUUCCCAAACCUGUGUUGUUCAUAUAAAUCAUUAACAUACAAGAAAUAAGAGCAGACAACAUCUAAAAUUGUGAACAUUGAAAUUCAGCCAAGAGCACAAUAGGCUAUCUUAUAACUCACAUAUCCAAUCAAGGUCAAAGGAGGAUCCUGUUGAUAAAAUAUAUUGUUCUUCUUGCCACUAACAAUCUCUAGCAACAUGACCCCAAAACUGAAAACAUCUGAUUUUGCGGAAAAGUUUCCAAACACAACAUAUUCUGGCGACAUGUAGCCACUGCAUCAGAAAAACAAGAGUAGUUUUAGUGUUCUUGGUAAUCAUGGAUUGUACUUUGUCACUCGGUCUUUAUUUUAGGCAAAGGUACUUACUACGUUCCUACAACUCUCCUUGUCCUAUCUUCAGUUUGGUUGCCUUCAAAUAUUUUUGCAAUUCCAAAAUCUGAUAUUUUUGGGUUCAUCUCUGCAUCCAAUAGAAUGUUGCUGCAUUUUAAAUCCCUGUGAAUGAUUCUCAGCCUGGAGUCCUGGUGAAGAUAUAAAAUCCCACGAGCUAUUCCAACAAUAAUAUCAAAGCGUUUUCGCCAAUCCAAUAACAAUCUUCUGCUUUCAUCUGUUGAAACAAUUAUUUUUCAGACAGGUGUAAAUCAGGGCAAUAAAUACUUAAAAACACUUACCGAAAAGAAACGAGUCCAAGCUUUUGUUUGGCAAGUAUUCAUAGAUUAACAUUUUUUCUCCAUCCUGAAGGCAAUAACCUAGAAGUUUCACUAGAUUCCUGUGUUGAAGCCUUGCAAUAACCGUAACUUCAUUUUUAAAUUCUUCUGUUCCUUGUCCUGAACUUCUAGAUAACCUUUUUAUUGCAACCUCCUUUGCAUUAGCUAGCAGACCCUAAAAUCAUGCUACAAGAUUAAGCCUCUAAAUUCCAAUUAUGCAACUUAGAGACAAACAAAUCUGUAGUAUUGAGAAGCCAUUUAGUUUUUAGCUAAAUGCAAGAAACUCUACCUUAUAAACAGAGCCAAAACCACCUUGCCCGACUUUGUUAGCUGAAGAGAAAUUGUUAGUGGCCGCCGUUAUGGUGCUGAGCUUGAAAUAUUCCAAUUCAGUAGAAGUGCUGUUUACCUGCAGUUCAGUACCUUUUUUGGCUCUCUUCUUGAACCACAAAGAAGCAAACAGGCUAAUGAGAAACCACAAGAAUGCAAUUGAUGGUGCUAAAACGGCCAGCAUCGUUUUUUCACGAGAAUCAUUUGACUUCCUUUUAGUAUCAGCUGCAUGAGAGUGAAAAGAACAAAGAUGAACUCUAUAGGAAAAACCACCCCAUUUUCCAAUGGAAAUAUGACAAUACGUAUGGCAAAGGGUAGUCCUUUUGGCACCUAAAACGUACCAAUAUCUAUGGUUUCUUUCCUGCAGUGAAGAGCUUAUUAACUACAGUCAAGAGCAGUGACAAGCAUAGGAAAGCUCUUAUAAAUCAAUAUUUGUAAUCACAAUCCUAUGAAAUUGUUACGGAGAAGAAAAAGGGUACCUAAUUCAUAUGCAUCAACACGAACAUACAGAUCAUGACUUUCACUCCUCCUAUCAUAUUUAAUGUCUACUAAUUCCUUGUACCAAUUCAAACAACCAUCCCCUUUUCCGGGAAUCACAAUGACUGCGUAUGCAGAGCAUGAACAAUUGCUAUUGCAUUCCAGCUCACAGUCUGCACGACUCUUGCUCGUGUCCACCCAAGCUGCAGCCGAAGUGUCCGGAAGCAUUACAUUUUCUACCUUCACAAACCCUUCUCCAUGAUCGCACACCGAAGAUGUCUGUAGCCGCUUCCUGACACAACCACCGGACCCAUUUCUCAUAGACCAUUCCAUUGGGUACUUGGGCUCGAACCCAGGUAAACAGGCACAUCCAAAUGUAUUAUAACUGGCAAGUUCACACGUACUAUAAGCACCACAGUAUCCAUAAUAGUCGCACUGUAACUGAGGGCACUUCGAGUAUUCCCUCCACUUACCAUCACUUUCUCGCCAAGUUAACACCUUUGAAAGUCCUGAAUGAUCCACUAUUAGUCUUACCAGAUAAUAACCAUCAGGAACUGUUAAUUCACUGUAUAUUUCAUCUGGAUCAUUUACAAAAACCAUUUUGUAUAAGCCCAUCUGACUUAUACUAAUUGGCCAAGGGGGAGAUCUACUAAUUGGCUUUGUACCAGUAUAGAGAAAGAAUUGUGGUGAGCCAUUUGGGUUGAUCCUAACUGAAAAGUCUCCAAUCCCAGGGUCAUCAGCUGAUCUCCAUGAUGUUAGGAACCGAUCAGUUCCUAAUUUUCGAUCCAGCCCCAGUUUCAUUCCAGGUAGCUGUAUGUUAGUAGGAUAAUCGAAGCUUUGCCAUACAAUUUUCCUGCUUCUUUUCCUGACCAAUAUCAAAUUUCCUGAAUCCAAGAGUUGAGCUUCACAAGUAUCAUUUUCUUCCACUGAAACAUUUGGAGACCACACAGGAAGCUUUUGGUCAUCGUUACCAUAGAGAACGAGGUUUCCAUAUUGGUUUAUAAAGAGAAAUCCAGAGGAACCAAUGAUUGGAUGGUUCCUGUUUGCAACCCACACCACAGUUUGUUCUGGUACUUUAUGGUACCAAAUUCCAAGAUAUCUAUUGCUAGAACUACCUGGACUGAAAAAUCCUAGUGCAAAAUUAUUUCCUUCGGAGAUAAGAACGUCACCUUCUUUAAUGGUUUGGUUCGUCUUUAAGGAGUCUAGGGAUGUACAAGAUGAGAAAUGGAGCAUUAAAAGAGAAAAAAGCAGGAACAGUUUUUCAGCUUCCAUGAUGGGGUAAAGUGGAUCUUGGCUUUUGGAAAGUGUCAAAUUUUGCUUUGUGGAGAAUGGAUAUGGCCUUCAGACAAGUCUCCAGAGAAGUUGCGUGACGGAAUUAGGCAUCUCUUUAAUGAGUUACUCUUUUCAACCUUCAAAGUCUAGGCAAUGACUUGUUUUUGUUAAAAUAUCAAUGUAGAUUUUUUGGAAACGACACCGUCCUCUAGUUUUAGAAAUAUGUAGUAGGUUGCAGACACAUACAAAAACAACAUAAAAAAGACAAUAAACAUAAAGACCAUAAUAAUUAUAAUUCAAACUUUUAUUAGUCAAUAUUUUUCUAAACAAAUUUAAAUAUUAAAGCUUUUAAUAAAUCACCAUAAACAAAACUUAAAAAUUAAUAAAAUAUUUCUAAGUAAAUAAAAAACAAAUUUAAAUCAACUUGGAAAAUAUGACAUUUUCAAAAUAGUAAUUUCUAGUACUAGUUUGGAGGCUUUAACGAGCUUAGAUGCCUUCAUAAAUCAAACCCUAUACAAAGAUCAUGGCUUCUAGAAAUAAAAUUUAUGUUCAUUAUUUUAAGGUCAUAUGUUGGAUAAAAAUCUCCUAAAUCAGUCUUCUCGUGUUGGAAAUAACUCGUCUUCAAGUUCAAAUUGUUCUUGUUUUGACCUCAUGAAUGCUCAAUCAAAGCUCUAAAACUCCCUUCCUUUCUUCCCUUAAGGUAUAUAACAAUAUUAUAUAUCAACUUAAGUUCUUUAUUAAUAUAUGUUGUAUCUAUAUAACUUUUGAACAAUUCUACCUUUGUGAUAAUAAUAAACUUAUAAUUAAAAGGAUCAACAUAACCUAAAUCAAUAAUUUAAUUUUGUUACUUUGCACAUAAUUUCUAACCUAUCAAUAUGAACACCAUUGAUGACAUUAUUGCUACUUUGCAAUCAUUGUUUAUGCUAUUAUUAUUAUCAUAAGUUUGGUUAGGUGAUCAUAUAUAUAUAUAUAUAUAUAUAUAUAUAUAUAUAUAUAUAUAUAUAUAUAUGAUUUUAGUGUUCUUUGUUUUUUUUUCACUUGGAUCGUUUUUUAGAACUUGAUUUUGGUUCUUGAGAAAUAAUUAGAGUUGUCAGUGUCACGCAAAAAAAUAAGGAAGGAUUUGAUCUUCCAUGUGUUUGGUCUAACAAAUCUAAGCUAUGUGGCUUUCUAACUUCUUUUUUUUUUUUAUGUGUUUCUUGUGCUAUGUUGUUGAUUCCUCUUUUUGUUCCAUGAUCUUAGGAGGUUUUUAAAUAUUGUAAGGAUCUCUUGCUUUCUCAAUUUAUUAUAUUUUGUUGCGCUCUAUUUUUUUUUUUGGCAUAUAUAUUGUGUUUGACCAUAGCAUGUGUUGUUAUUUAUUUUUGGACCUCACAUAAACAUACAAAAUACAAAAAAAAAUUAAAAAAAUGGAAAACAAAUAUACAUAAGUGGGAAGAACAUGAAAGAUAUCUAGAAAAUUGUCACAGACUAGUAGGGGAGAAUCAAAAUAUUCAAAGUUAAAAAAUUGACAGUUCAAUUUUGAAUCAUGAAAGCCUUAUUAACAAGAAAAGUUCAAUUUGAGAAGAAAUAUUCAAAAUUAGAUGUUUAAUAACUCAAUUGAAAAUUUUCAAGGUUUAAUUGUAUUUAUUGAGGGCUUAAUUGCAAUAAAAAUUAGUUUUAAAGUUCAAUUUGGACUUUAAUGGAAAGAAAUUGAAGUUUGGGGGUUGAAUUGUAAUUUUAAAAAGCUAAUUUAGUUAGUUAAAAACAUGACAUGACAUCAUUAAUAUGAUGCGACAGAUGGAGUGAUGGUGCACCCUUCCUGUUGUAACCCAAUUUUGACCCAUUAGCUUUUAAAUUUAAUUUUACAGGGUUUAAAAUUUAAAAUUAAAAAAUAAGAGAUUUAUUUCGAUGAAAAGUGUGAUUUGUCAACUUGCAUGAAAACUAGAGACUACAAUGUGCUUUUGUCAUUCUAUCCUUAUCUUUAAGAUAAUCCUUGUCUUCAAGAUAAAAAUAGUUAUCUGUUUUCAAAUUUGAUUCUUAAUCAAAUUCAAACUUUAAAGAAGAGAAUGAGUUUAAUUGAAACUUUGUUUCUCACACGCGAAGGGACUCUGACACUAUAAAUACAAAUCUCAGUGUAUGCACAAAGGGGGAAAGACAAUAUAGAGAAAAAAAAAAAAACAAAGGAGAAAAACAGGGGAGACGACAGAAGUAAGAAAACAAAGGAGAGAACCUAAAAAAAAAACCAAGAAUAGAGGGAGAAGAGACUGAAAAGAGGAGAAGAAGGAGAGCAUUCUCCUGUUGAUGUCUGCACUGCUACCUUUGCCUUCAGCUUCACCAGGUAAAGCCUUCUUCUUCUCUAUGUUUUUGUGUAAUUGUUGCAAGAAAAUAGUGUCAAUGUAACUUAAUUACCUUCAUACUAUGCAGUGCACGUGUGGGUUGAGCCACGCUUGCUUGCUGCCCAACCGGGUCACUGGCUUAGGGCCAGUGACCAGGUUGGGUUGGCUGGGUCAAGCCCAGCCCAUGUUGGUUAGGCUAGACCCAGCCCCAAAAAAAAAAAAAAAAAAGAGAGAGAGGGUCAAUUAUGGGCUUUAGGCUUAGCCGGCCCAAAUUAUGUUUAUUAAGGGUGUGUUUGACAAAACACACCCUUAUGCCUUGGCUAUAAUUUUUAUGCUCAUUUUAGUUUGAUAUUUAGCCAAACGAGCCCCUUUUUUAUAUCAGAAAAUUCCAAAAAUAUUUGAGGAUCUUUGUUGAUUUAUUUGUGGGCCCCACGCACUUUGAUUUAUUUUUUUUCUUUGUGUUUUGUAUUUGUUUUAAGUUAUGUGCUCAAUCUGUGGCCUAUUAUUGUUAAAUACAAAUAUGUUGUGCAAUAUUUUUUUUAUUUCCAUCUAAAAAGGGCAAAUAAUAAUAAAGGAUAAACAAGAAAAAAUAUGACAUAGAAAAUUUCUUCUUCAAAUGUAUUUUUUGCGAAAAUAUUCACUGACGCUAGAGUUAGGAGUAUCGUAUUUUUUGGAUUUGUGCGAUAUUUACCAACGCUAGAGUUGUAAAUAUUCAUAGGAAUUGUUCACUGAUACCAGAGUCAGGAACAUGAAAGGAAGAAUAAAAAAAGGGAAAAGGAGAACAAAUUCUUAAGCAAUUUUAGAGAAAACCAGCAAUGCAGCCUGCCUCAAGUAGGACGCUUAGGGGGUGAUAGCAUCUUCCCUUUUGCAUAACCAGUCUUGUACCAUAGAAUCUUUGUUGAUCAGUUACGGUUCCUAGUGACCAUAAUACUAGGUGGCGACUCCUUGAACUAGAUAUUUUACCCUAAAAGAACAAGAUGUCAGAUAUCUGUUCUUUUUUCCAAUCAAGUGAUAAUUUUUAAUCGAUCACCGCGAUGUCCGGGUGUGACACUUCCAAUGGUGAAACCUGAAAAUAUUUUAAUAUGGUGCAUCCUUAGUUUUUAAUGGAAUCAAGAAACCAGCAUCUUGGGUUAUGUAUAGACAAAUUCAAUUCAUUCGGAUCAUUUGAUGCUCCUUGUUGGCCCGUGAUACAUUUUACAAAUUGUCACCAGAUAUGUGUAUGAGGCCGAAGUUCAUGUUUUUAUCAACAGUCAUACCUGGUUAUAAUAGUCCGAGUUAAAAUAUAGAUGUUUGUUUUCGGUGGUGGUUUGGAAGGAUUUCAAACCUUCAUACAUCUCUGAGGCCAUAUGGGCAAAAUAUAUUUAGCAUAUAAUGUAUGAUCAUUUUGUGCGACAAUCACACUCCAGUGCAAAGAACCAGAACUAGCAAGUUCACGAAUCUAUUAUCCACACACCGGCAGCUCUAUUCCAUGUGUUUCACAUGCGAGACAGAUAGUAAGAUUCGUUUUUUAUUAUAUAUAUUUUUUAUUUGUUGUUUUCUAUAAAUAUAUUUAAUUAACAGUUUUAUCUUGCAGUAUACAGAUUUUGGACAUAAACCAAGCCCCAUUGAUGACCGCAAAAAAAGUCAAGGGUGCAAUUUCAUAUUUUAGAUUAGCUAGGACACAUUAUGCUUAAUUGAUAAUUCCUAGAAAGUAUUUGAAUUCAUUGCAAGCAUUCGUGCGUUUUGGAUAAGAUAUGGUCAUCUAGCCAGGUGGCACGCAUCGUUUGGCAGAGACCACAGGGGUUGGAAUUUUUGCCUUAAGGUGUUUUUUCUAUUUUAACUUUUCAGUCCAAGUUUUGUAUAGUUGUGAGACCGUUUAGUUAGGGUAAGUGAAAAUAUCAUAAUCUCAAUUAUGAGUCUGAUGAAAAUAAUAUUUAUUUAAUAUUCUAAUAUUUAUUUGAUUUGAUUUUUAUUAGUUAUGUCAACUUAAUUUAUUAUUUAAAACAAUUUUAUACUUUAGUGGCAUUCCACAAUUGAUAUUCAAAAUUUAUUAAAUCAGAUUUUUUUUAAUUUCUUAACUAUGAUUUUUAAAUAUAAAAAACUUUGAUUUAUUAAUUUCAAAGAAAUUAUUUUUUAAUAUUUAAAUAGUUACCCUUAAGGGAUUUUACUGCACAACCAUUUAAGUAAUUAUAUUGUAUAAAAAAUUAAAAGCCCAAAAAGCCCAUGAUUAUUUUUAUAAUGAUCAAUUAAGUAUGUGAAAAGACCACGUUAUCCUUAAAAGACAGGCAAAGUUUUUAGAUUGAGAAAGGCAAAAUAGUAAAUUCAUUACUAUAAUCCAUAAUAAUUCAACACAUAUCUAUAGUAAUUCUUUCGGGUUUAGGUUUUUGUUAAUUCUACAUGGAAAUAAGGAGUUGAUGUAUGAUAUAUAUUUUUUAGAACAUUAUAAUAUUUGAUUUCAAACAUGUUGUCAGCGAAAAUGGAAAAACGGGUAAAAGGGAGAAAAUUGACAUUGAAAUUGUGGGAUCGGAUAAUUGGUCUUUCCAAUGCAUUUUUCAAUUUUUUUUAUAUAUAAAAUGCUUAAAAGACUGGAAAGAGAGUUUUGCACUUUCUCGGCCAUGGUCCAUACAUGCUCAAAUUUUGGAUAUGAAGACUUUUGGGCUUUCCUUGUGUGUGUGUAUAUAUAAAAAAAAAUAAAAAAAUCAGAGAUUACCUUGAGUUUAUUAUUCUAGAAAUCAAAGCAAAAACGUCAAAAUAUAUAUAUAUUCUAAGAUGAAAAAACUAAAAUUAAUGUCUAAAAUUGAUAUACACUUAAAAUGAAGAGUUUUAAUUUGACAUGCAAAGAAUUAAAUAAUAGUAAUUUGAAUUCAUUGACGAGUUUUUUCUAACCAAAUGAGACUAAUGAAGGAGGAUUUUUUUUUAAUAUACAACUUUAUAUUAAUGAGUACAAUUUUCAAUUUCAUGGUUAGCUCAUGCUAUAACUUUGGUAAAAGAUUUCAAAAGCUUUAUUUUCUUGAGGGUAAAAAGUCCAUACCCAUCAGAGUUCAAAAGGAGUCCAAAAAUUACUAUUUAAGAUUUUUUAUAUUUUCUAGUUAAUUUAUGAUUUUUUUCUAUUUAGAUUAAAACCUUUUUUUAUUUUUUUUAUUUUUAUUUAAGAUGUUUUUCCUAGUUUUUUUAUGACUUUUAUUACUUUUCGUUUAUUUUCUGAAUUUAUUGUUAGUUUAGUUAAGUUUUUAGGUUUAUUGAAGGAAUUGCAAACCUCUUAAAUUGAUAGAUUAUUUGAAAAAAAAAUAUAUUCAGUUAUAAAAUUAUAAAUUAGGAUUUCUAUGUGAUUUGUUUUAGAAUUAUUUUGUAUUUUUUUGUUUUUGUCUUUCUCGUGGUACUUUCAUCUGCAUCAGUAGUAUAUAAAACUUCAAUUUAUAAUUUUAUUAUUGAAUAUUUAUCUUCAAAUAAUCUUUUAAAAUACAAGAUAAAAAUCUUACUUAUACUAGAAAAAACACCCUAAACAAAACUAAAAAUAAUAAUAAAAGAGUUUCAAACUAAGUAGAAUGUUUUAUUAAAUCAACUAAGUAAAUAUUGCAAAUCCCAAAUAAUAAUUUCUUAGACUUAUUUGAAAGUCUUUUCAUAUUUGAAUUGAUACAAAACUUUAACUUUAUAAUAAAUAAAGCACAAAAGGAAUUCCCAUUAAAAUAACCUAAUUCAAUAGUUGAAUUAAAAGGAAUUCCCAUUAAAAUAAAGUUGGAUUCUAAAAAAACAAUAGUCUCCUACAUCAUAAAACACUACUUGUACUCGGCCUGUGCUAGUUUUUUAAUUUUAUUUAAAGGUACUAGGUUUUUUUUUUUUAAAUCAGAAAAAAGAAAACGCAAGGACAUGGUUAAAAUAAAGAAUUCUAAUCUUUACCAAAUUUGGUUAUGAAGAACUUUUUCCCAUAAUAAAUAUAAAAAGACUUAAUAUCACGCCUCGAACCAAGACUCAUGAAAUUAUUUUAUGUGCACGAAGAAAUUUUAACUUCAAAAAUAAAAAUUAUAUUCAAAAUAAUAUUCAAUUAAAAGAAAAUACAUUGAAUCAUAAGUUAAUUAAGACUUUAAUAAUAUAAAUCUAACUUUAAAGUCAAAUAAAAACAAAUGUAAGUCUAAAUCAAAGAUAAUAAAUUGAUUUAAUUAUUUAAAUAUUAAAGUCUAGAAAUUAACUAUAAACUUCCAAAACAACUAGAUGACAUUCUAAGCCUUUUCCAAAAUUAAAUAAGAGGUGAGUUAGAGAAGUCUAUUUGAUGCAAACUCAAUUUUGUUGGAUUUCUGACUCAAAGACCUAUCAACCUAUGGAAUUUCAGCUAAAAAAAUACUCAUAUAAGAGAUAUGAUAUUUCUAAGACAACCUAUAAAUUCUGAUAACAGACAGGUUUUGUGAAGAAAUAAGUCUCAAACAUCCAAACCGACAGGACAAUUAUUUUUUCAUAUGAAAAUGGUUUUUAUUUAGGCAAAUUAACUUCACUAAAUCCAAAGUCAAAACUUGAAGAUUUUAUAUAAGACUAUUUUUCCUUCUUUAUAAGAAAGUAAUUAUUGUGUUACUUAAAUAUAGAUUGUCUACUUUGGAAAUGACUUUUAUAUUUUUAGGAUACAAACGGACUAGUAGGAAUGUGAGGAUUAUGGUUUCCUAUCAUAUAAAAAGAAAGAGAGAGAGGAAGAGAGGGAGGCGAUAAAAAAAGAAGAAGAAACUCUCAUCUUUUUUUCCUACACUUGACAUUUUGUUUUCAUCCUUUCUUUUCCUUAGUUUUUUUAUAGUCAUACGAGACUAAGUUAUUUUUCUUGGUUGAAAAGAUACAGAAGCCUUAAAAUUUCAAAAAAGCUAUGAGAUCUAUUUUAUCUUUUCAUUUCAGUUUAUAUGAUGAGUAUAGAUGUUUUUCUAUACUUAUUUUUUUAUGACUGUUUAGUUUGAUUGAUUAGAACGACUAAGUUUUCAUUCUUACCAAUCUAUUGCUAAAUUUCUAUCAAAAUCAGAGUCGUGAUAUUUAACUUGUGAAGCGGCUAAGUUUAAUAAUUAUGAAAGAUCUAUGCUAUUAAUUUUAGGGAAAACAAUCAAUUAAAUUGAACAUAGACUGUAGACAGAUAUGUUGUCUAGAUUUAUCAACCUAUCUAGUUCUUAAGGCUACCGUUGAAUUAAAUUGCUAGUGCGGACGCAAUGGUUGUUUAAUGGUUAGAUUAGUUAUACUGAAUGUCAGUUAACUGAUUAAUAUUAAGAAAAGAUAAAUAUUCAGAAUAUAAAUUGACGAAUCGUUUCAAUAAUUAGUUUUGAUUUCUGUCGUUGAACAUUUACUUAAAUGUUUUUCUCUUAAUAAGUUUCGGUUUAUUUAACUUAGUUUGAGUACUUUAUUUUGUUUACCUUACCUAGCUUAGAUAAUUUCAACCCCUCAACUUUGAAUCAUUUAGCAUAAAAACCCAAACUAAAUCUUUCUCGUGGGAUCGACCUCUUACUUGCUCUAUAUUAUCUUAUUUGUUUAAGUUAGGGUAAUUAAUUUGUGUGAUCACGACAUUGCAACACAAAUACAUAUAUCUUAAAGUAUAUUCAAAGAACUUUUGCAAUCAUAAACAUAUUUUUAUAAAUCACUUAACAUUAUUUACAAAAUCAUUUACAUGCAUGAUCCACCUAAUUUACAAAACAAUAAUUAUUUGAAAAACUCAUUUUGUACAUAAGUAUAUAUUUUCUAACUUAAAAUAACUAACCAAAGUGAUGAAAUAUUACUUGCAUGUUACACAAAUCCAAUAUAUAUUUGUCCUAGAGACAACCAAGCACUCUUAACAACCUAACAAUAAUAAUCAUUAUAAAUUAUAUGCUCACUGAUAUCCAAUGCAAUACAUGAGCUUGUUUCUAAUUCAUAAUUUAAUAAAAAAAAAUUAAAUAUAUCACUUGCUUAAAUGACCUUAAAAUUCCCAUGAAAAAUCAUCCAAUACUAGAACCGUGUUAUUACAACCCCCUAUUUUACUUAUAAAAUAUCUAUUUUUAAUAAUUAAAUACCAAAAAUCACCUAAUGCUAGAACCAUGUUAUUACAACCCCCUAUUUUACUUUUAAAAUAUCUAUUUUUAAUAAUUAAAUACCAAAAAUAAUUAUGUAAAACAUAUGACUAUUAUAGUUCAAAUUUAAGAACAUUAUAAAAUCUAUUAGAAAAGGAUAAUAAAUAUUUUUAUUUCAACUAAAACAAUAUUAUAAGUAUAAUUAAAGUGGAGGUGUCAAAAAUUAUUAAGUGCAACUAUUUUUUAAAAAUAAUUUAUGUAGUAAAUAAAUUAAUUCAUAUACAAAUCAAGUUCUUUAUGAAAUACUUUUCACUAAUUCAAAUUCUACAUGAAAAGAAAUUGAUAGUAGUAUAUUAAAAUGUUUAAAACUUAAUUAUAAAAGUUAUUCAUCAAUCUUCAAAAUAAAUUUUAGUUAUUAACUACUAAAUUUCACUAAUAAAAAGUAUUUUUUUCAUAAAUUUAAAAAUACUAAAAAAUAUAUUAAAAGCACACUAAAAUUUCCUAGUAACAUAUUAAAUAGAAACAACAAACUUUAGGUCAUUAAAUAUUCAGGGAGAAUUGCACUUUUUAAUAAAAAAAAUAAAAUUAAAGAGUAUUUAUAAACUUAUAAAUUACAAAUUCAAGUGACUUACAUCCGACUGUCAUAAUUUUUAAUCCACAACUUUGAUUUGGGCAAAUGACUUAUCAAAUCAAAGAACUUACAACAUACUAUAACUAGGUACUAAAUUCCAACCAUAACAAUAAUUGGAAGACCAGAUUCCUGCGGUCCAAAAUUACCAACUUAUCCUUUUUUUUCAAAUCUCUUAAUUUCACUAUUACUUCUUAAAAAUAUUUUUUAUUAAAAUAAUUUUUUUAAAAGAAUAUAUAUAUUAAAAUAUAUUUUUUUAUUUUUAAAAUUAGCAAAUUAAAAUGAUUUAAAAAUAUAAAAAAAAUUAAUUUAAAACAUUUUUUAUAAAAAUUUUGCAAAUCUCUAUUUAAACCACACUGGAGGUCAUCUUAUACUACAUAACCUACUCGAAGGCCGCUCAAUUUUUAUUUCUUUUUAAUUUUAAUUAUAUGAGUUCUUUAACAUAUCUCAAAUUUUCGAUAUUGAUGUUGACACUUUUGUUAUACUUAAAAUUAGGAUCAAUAUUCGCAACAUACAUUUAGUAGAGAAAUUGUGUCCUACAAAAUCAGAAAUCAUAUGAUUGAGAUUGUAAAAUUCAAAAAAUAAAAAGUUUUAAAUCCAAAAAAUAAAGUAAUCUUAAAAAGGGAAAGAAUUUUUGGGAUUAGUUUUAAAUCCCAAAAAUAAACUAUUUAAUUUCUUUAUUUAAUCAAGCUAACUUUCAGUUUUUUUAUUUAGUUUUUUCAAUCAUCAUUCAUCUAGUUGAAUUGAUUUUUUUUUUCAAAAUAAAGAGUUUUACAAGGACUAAAUUGCAUAAAUUUUAAGGGUGCAAUUUCAUAUUUUAGAUUAGGACACAUUGUGCUUAAAUGCUAAUUCCUGAGAAAGUAUUUUAAUUCAUUGCAAGCAUUCGUGCGUUUUGGAUAAGAUAUUGUCAUCUAGCCAGGUGGCACGCAUCGUUUGGCCGAGACCACAUGCCUUAAGGUGUUUUUUCUAUUAUAACUUUUCAGUCCAAGUUCUGUAUAGUUGUGAGACCUUUUACUUAGGGUAAGUGAAAAUAUCAUAUUCUCAAUUAUGAGUCUGAUAAAAAUAAUAUUCAUUUAAUAUUCUAAUAUUUAUUUGAUUUGAUUUUUAUUAGUUAUGUCAACUUAAUUUAUUAUUUAAAACAAUUUUAUACUUUAGUGGCAUUCCACAAUUGAUAUUCAAAAUUUAUUAAAUCAGAUUUUUUUUUUAAUUUUUUAAAUAAAUUUUCAAAUUUAAGAAACUUUGGUUUAUUAAUUUCCCUAUGCACUGCAUCGCUUGAACUUUAGUCUUUAGGGUUUUCUUUCAAGUGGGCAGCAUGAGAAAAUAUCUAUCGGACAAAAACAGUUUUUUAAGUACUGAUAGUUUUUUUUAAGGAAAAAAAUCAAUUAAUAUAAGAUUUGACACAUAUUAGAAGAUACUGUUUUUAAUACUAAGACAGUUAUACAUUAAAAUUUAUUUUUUAAGUAUUAAAAUACUGCAAAUCCCAAACAAUAAUUUCUUAGACUUAUUUGAAAGUCUUUCCACAUUUGGAUGGAUAUAAAAUUUAAACUUUAUAAGAAAAUAGAAACUUUGAAUUUUUUUAUUAAAAUUUUAAUCCGAUUCAACAGUUAAAUAAAAAGUUAUGUCUAUUAAAAUAAAAUUAUAUUUUAGAAAAAAAUAAUCUAUGCCUUCAAUAAAAUAGCUUGAGAAAACACUAUUGGGACCAGUGGUUUUUCAAAAACAUCAGCAUUUCCUUUCCAGAGGUGCUAUUUCUUAAAAAAAAAAAAAAAAAUUUCGCCGUAUGCUAGUUUUUCAAUUUUAUUUAAAGGUAGUCCAUCAAUUUGACAAUUCUAUGUUUCAUGCUCCCAUGAUAUGAGAUGAAUUCCUAAAUGCUAUUAGUCUGGUUGGGCAAUCAGAUUUAACAGUGUUACGUCCUGCUAUUAGUAGAAUCCAAUAAUAUUAUGCCAACCAGAUUUAAUAUUAUUGGAUAUGACUUGGGUUUGGUGGUUAAGUUUGGCUUAACUACUAAAUCCAAAAAUAUUAAGUUUGGAAUUGCUGUCAGACCUAAAUCAUUUAAUAUAUUAUACUAAUUUAAUUUCAAACAUGUUGUAGGUGAAAAUGGACAAAUGAGUAAAAUGGAGAAAAUUGACAUUGAAAUUGUGGGAUCGGAUAAUUGCUCUUUUUCAAUGCAUUUUUCAAUAUUUUUAUAUAUAAAAUGCUUAAAAAACUGGAAAGAGAGUUUUGCACUUCCUUGGGCCAUGGCCCGGACAUGCUCGAAUUUUGGAUAUGAAGAGCUUGAUCUGUUGUGAUGCACAACAUAUAUGUCCCAUUGUUUUCUGCCGCUUUAAAAUAUUUGUUCUGACUGUCUUGCGGAAAGGCAUUCACUAUCGUUAGCAAAUCUAAUGGAACUUCAUAUUAGCAAUUUUUCGGACAGCACAGCUUCAGCGACUAGCGAUUUCAGAAAUUGUCACCUCAUUUACAGAGCACAGUCCAUCUUCAACGUCUAAUGCUAUAUCAGGAAAUUUAUCAGAUUUUCUUAAGAGGAAUGCAGGUUGGGAGUUUUAGCAGGGGCUACGUCUAGUGCUGAAGAGCUUGAUCUGUUGUGAUGUACAACAUAUUUGUUUUCAUUACAAAUCUAAUGGAACUUCAUCUUAGCAAUCAUUCAGACAGUACAGCUUCAGCGACAGGCAAUUUCAGUAAUUGUCACCUCAUUUAGAGAACACUGUCCAUCUUCUACGUCUAAUGCUAUAUCAGGAUUAUUGUCAGAUUUUCUAAAGAGGAAUGCAGGUUGUUUUGGAGAAGGAAUCUCUGUUUCGUUACUCAACAUAAAACAACAGCCAACAUAGAUGGUCUGUCCGUGGCAUCUUCUUGCACGCACAGUAGACCAAUUUGUAUGCAUUUCAAGGCUUCACGCGGAUGAUACAACUCCUUCAGUGAUGGAUCAACUAUCUCCAAUGCUUUGUCUUCUCUCCAUAAUUCCCACACCUGUGUUGUUCAUAUAAAUCAUUAGCAUACAAGAAAUGAGAGCAGGCAACAUCUAAAAUUGUGAACAUUGAAACUCAGCCAAGAGCACAAAAGGCUAUCUUAUAACUCACAUAUCCAAUCAAGGUCAAAGGAGGAUUCUGUUGAUAAAAUCUAUUGUUCUUCUUGCCACUAACAAUCUCUAGCAACAUGACCCCAAAACUGAAAACAUCUGAUUUUGCGGAAAAGUUUCCAAACACAGCAUAUUCUGGCGACAUAUAUCCACUGCAUCAGAAAAACAAUAGUAGUUUUAGUAUUCCUGGUAAUCAAGGAUAGUACUUUGUCACUCGGUCUUUGUUUUAGGCAAAGGUACUUACUAUGUUCCCACAACUCUCCUUGUCCUAUCUUCAGUUUGGUUGCCUUCAAAUAUUUUUGCCAUUCCAAAAUCUGAUAUUUUUGGGUUCAUCUCUGCAUCCAAUAGAAUGUUGCUGCAUUUUAAAUCCCUGUGAAUGAUUCUCAACCUGGAGUCUUGGUGAAGAUAUAAAAUCCCACGAGCUAUUCCAACAAUAAUAUCAAAGCGUUUUCGCCAAUCCAAUAACAAUCUUCUUGUUUCAUCUGUUGAAACAAUUAUUUUUCAGACAACUAGUGUAAAUCAGGGCAAUAAAAACAUAAAGAGACUUACGGAAAAGAAACGAGUCCAAGCUUUUGUUCGGCAAGUAUUCAUAGAUUAAGAUUUGUUCUCCAUCCUGAGUGCAAUAACCUAGAAGUUUCACCAGAUUCCUGUGUUGAAGCAUUGCAAUUACCAUAACUUCAUUUUUAAAUUCUUCUGUUCCUUGUCUUGAACUUCUAGAUAACCUUUUUAUUGCAACCUCCAGCCCAUUAGCUAGCAGACCCUAAAAUCAUGUUACAAGAUUAAGCCUCUGGACUAAUAUUAUGCAAAUUAGAGAGGCCAUUUAGUUUUUAGCUAAAUGCAAGAAACUCAACCUUAUAAACAGAGCCAAAACCACCUUGCCCGAGUUUGUUAGCUGGAGAGAAAUUGUUUGUGGCCGCCGUUAUGGUGCUGAGCUUGAAAUAUUUCAAUUCAGUAGAAGUGCUGUUUACCUGCAGUUCAGAACCUUUUUUGGCUCUCUUCUUGAACCACAAAUAAGCAAACACGCUAAUGAGAAACCACAAUAAUGCAAUUGAUGGUGCUAAAACGGCCUGCAUCGUUUUUUCACGAGAAUCAUUUGACUUCCUUUUAGUAUCAGCUGCAUGAGAAUGAUAUCAUUUUCUUCCACUGAAACAUUUGGAGACCACACAGGAAGCUUUUGGUCAUCGUUACCAUAGAGAACGAGGUUACCAUAUUGGUCUACAAAGAGAAAUCCUGAGGAACCAAUGGUUGGAUCGUUCCUGUUUGCAACCCACACCACAGUUGUUCUGGUACUUUAUGGUACCGAAUUCCAAGAUAUCUAUUGCUAGAACUACCUGGACUGAAAAAUCCUAGUGCAAAAUUAUUUCCUUUGGAGAUAAGAACGUCACCUUCUUUAAUGGUUUGGUUCGUCUUUAAGGAGUCUAGGGAUGUACAAGAUAAGAAAUGGAGCAUUAAAAGAGAAAAAAGCAGGAACAGUUUUUCAGCUUCCAUGAUGGAGUAAAGUGGAUCUUGGCUUUUGGAAAGUGUCAAAUUUUGCUUUGUGGAGAAUGGAUAUGGCCUUCAGAGUUAUUAAACCCGGCCCGGGAGUUGACCCGGCCAAGUGGCCGGGUCCCGGGUUUCAUGGGUCAACCCGGGUCAACUCGGGUCAACCCGGAUUAACCCGGAAAAAUUAAAAAAAAAUUAAAGUUUUAAUAUUUCAUAUGAAAAAAUUCAUGUAAAUAUAGAUUAUACAUAUUAUAAAGUUUAAAAGAAUAUUUUAAAAAGUUUUUUAUCCUACAUUAAAAAGAUAUUAUGUUAAGCUUUUAAGUUAAAGUAUUUAAACUAAAAAAGUUUUUUAUCCCACAUUUAAAAAACAUAACUUUUUUCUUGGAAACAUAGAGUAUAUAUACUAAUGAGUUUCAAAUCCCACAUUGAAAAGAUAAUAUAUUAUCCUUUUAAGUGGAAGUAUUUAAACCAAAAGGUUUUUUAUCCCACAUUGAAAAAACAUGAUUUUUUUCUUGGGAACAUAGAGUAUAUAUACUAAUGGGUUUCAAAUCCCACGUUGAAAAAACAUGGUUUUUUUCAUGGGAACAUAGAGUAUAUAUAUAAAAGGCCUUCAAAUCCCACAUUGAAAAGAUACCAUGUUAUCCUUUUAAGUUGAAGUAUUUAAACAAAAGGUUUUUUAUCCCACAUUGAAAAAACAUGGUUUUUUUCAUGGGAACAUAGUGUAUAAAUAUGAAAGGGUUUCAAAUCCCACAUUGAAAAGAUACUAUGUUAUGCUUUUAAGUUGAAGUAUUUAAACCAAAAGGUUUUUUAUCCCACAUUGAAAAAACAUGGUUUUUUUCAUGGAAACAUAGAGUAUAUAUACUAAUGGGUUUCAAAUCUCACAUUUGAAAAAAAAAAAAAACAAAAAACAAAAAAAAUCGGGUCUCGUCCGGGUUCGCCCGGGUCACCCGGGUUCCGGGUCGACCCGCCGGGUCGCCCGGGUUUGGCCGGGCUGUUGCCACAGCCGGUCUUUUAUUAAACCCGGACCGGUCCAGCCACCGGGCCGGGCCGGGUUUAAUAACUGUGCUUCAGACAAGUCUCCAGAGAAGUUGCGUGACGGAAUUAGGCGUCUCUUUAAUGAGUUACUCUUUUCAACCUUCAAAGUCUAGACAAUGACUUGUUUUUGUUAAAGUAUCAAUCCAGGAUUUUUGGAAACGACACCGUCCUCUAGUUUUAGAAAUAUGUAGGUGAUUGCAUACGCAUAUAAAAACAACAUAAAAAAGACAAUAAACACAAAGAAAGAUGGAAUUGCGUCGAAAAAGACAAAAUCAUUCAAACUUUUAUUACUCAAAAAUUUUCUAAUUAAAUUUAAAUAUUAAAGCUCUUCUAAAUUAUUAUAUACUAGGAAAAACACCCUGAACAAAGCUUAAAAAUUAAUAAAAUAUUUCUAAAGUAAAUAAAAAAAUAAUCUAAAUUAACUUGAAAAAUAUGAUAUUUUCAAAAUAGUAAUUUCUAGUACUGGUUUGGAGGCCUUAACUUCAUAAAUAAGACCUUUAGGAAUAUUGCCUCUAGAAUCAAAAUUUAUGUCCAUUAUCAUAAGGUCAUGCGUUGGAUGAAAAUCUUCUACAUCAGUCUCUUUAUGUUGAAAAUAACUUGUUUUCAAGUUCAAAUUAUUCUUGUUUUGAUAUCGUGAAUGCUUAAUCAAAGCUCUCAACCUCUUUUCCUUUCUUUUCUUAAGGUAUAUAACAAUACUAGAUAUUGGCUUUAGUUCUUUAUCAACAUAUGUUGUAUCUAUAUAAUCCUUGAACAAUUCUAUCUUUGUGAUAAUAGUAAACUUGUAAUCAAAAGGAUCAACAUAAUCUAAAUCAAUAAUUUAAUUUUAUUGGUCAUCUUCGGUAUUCUAUUUACACUUAAUUUCUACCUUAUCAAUAUGAACACCAUUGAUGACAUUAUUGCUCCUUUGCUGUCAUUGUUUAUGUUAUUAUUAUUAUCAUAAGUGUGGCUAGGUGAUCACACACAUAUAUAAAAGUUUAGUUUUCUUUGUUAUUUUUUUCACUUGGAUCGUUUUUGUUUUUGAGUUUUUUAGAUCUUGAUUAUGGUUCUUGAGAAAUAAUUAGAGUUGUCAGUGUUACGCAAAAAAAUAUGGAAGGAUUUGAUCUUCCAUGUGUUUGGUCUGAUAAAUCCAAGCUAUGUGGUUUUUACUUUGUUGAUUCAGCUUUCUAACUUCUUCUUCUUCUUUUUUAUGUUUCAUGUGUUAUGUUGUUGAUUCCUCUUUUUGCUGGAUGAUCUUAUGAGGUUUUUGAAUACUGUAAGGAUCUCUUGCUUUCUCAAUUUACUGUAUUUUGCUGCACUCUACAUCUAUAUUGAGUUUGAGCAUAGCCAGUGUUGUUAUCUAUUUUGGAACCUCACAUAAACAUAAAAAAAAUAAAAAAAAUAAAAAAAUAUACAUCAGUAGGAAGAACAUGAAGAAUGUCCAGAAAAUUGCCAACUAGUUGGGAAGAAUCAAAAUACCCAAAGUUGAAAAAUUGAUAGUUCAAUUUUGACUCAUGAAGGCCCUAUUAACAAGAAAAAUUCAAUUUGGAAAGAAAAAUUCAAAAUUAGAUGUUUAAUAACUCAAUUGAAAUUUUUCAAGGUUUAAUUGUAUUUAUUGAGGGAUUGAUUGCAAGGAAAAUUGGUUUUUAAGUUCAAUUUGAACUUUAAUGGGAAGAAAUUGAAGUCUGGGGGUUGAAUUGUAAUUUUAAAAGGCUAAUUUAGUUAGCUAAAAACAUGGCAUUGUAUUAUUAAUAUGAUGCGGUGGAUGGAGUGAUGGUGCACCCUUCCGAUGGUGAAGCCUGAAAACAUUUUAAUAUGAUGCAUCCUUAGUUUUCAAUGGAAUCAAGGAACAUGCAUCUAGGGUUAUGUACAGACGGAUUCAAUCCAUUUGGAUCAUUUGUUGCUCUUUAUUCUUGUUGGCCAAUAAUACUCACAGUUUACAAAUUAUCAUUGGGCAUGUGUAUGAGGUCGGAGUUCAUGUUUUUAUCAACGGUCAUACCAAGUCAUAAUAGUCUGAGUUAGAAUAUAGAUGUUUGUCUUUGGUGGUGAUUCAUAAGGAUUUCAGGCCUCCGUACAUGUCAGAGGCCAUGUGGGCGGAAUAUAUUCAGCAUGUGAUGUUUGAUCGUUACGUGCGACAAUCAUACUCCGGUUCAGAGAACCAGAACUAGAAAGUUCAUGGUUUUGUUAUCACACACACCAGCAGCUCCAUUCGAUUCGUUUCGCAUGCAAAACGAAUGGUUAGAUUAGUCUCUCUAACACUACAACCCAGUUCUUGCGAAUAGCCCGUAAUUUUUCAAACCAUUAGAUAUUUGUAAUCAGUUUCGAGCACUCAUACUCUAGAGUUCGAGAUGAUUUUAGACCAGCGAAUUAAAGAUUAGACGACCCAUCUUGUUGCUGAUUAUGAAUGACUACUUAGUGUUGAGAUAACCAAACUUCACCAAUUCGUAUUGGAGAUGAGAUCACAUAUGAGUGGUACUUGUGCUCCCUCUUAUUCGCCCCACAGUUUAGGCAAAGAUCUGCCUUCUCCUCCUCCUCCAGCACUUCUAUUCUAGAUGAAUUGUAUUUGAACUUAUAAAUGUUUAAAUUUGUAAUAAAUAUUUGAUUUUAUAUUAGUUUAAUUUUUUAAAUACUUUUUGUUUCUGCUUAAUAGAUUUUUUUUAAAUAUAUUUUUGAAUUAUUAAUGACAGGGUUACAAACGGACAUAGUUUGUCGGUAUAUUUUAAAAAGUUGAAAAAUAAUUACUGCAAAUAUCACUGUCAUUGUUUACUGACCGACAAAAUAACAUACAAUAUGUUUGACAAUUACAAGUUAAAUUUACCGAUGGACAUACUGACAGUUGAAAAAAAUCAUCAAUGCAAUGACAUGUGGUUUUUCUGUUAGUGAUAUGUUAUAUUCAAUGUUGGAAAUACUGAUGAAAUGAAGCAGGUAAAGUUUUUUUUUUUGCAUGCUUUGUACAUUAUUAAAUGUAUCUGUAAAAUUAUUACCGAUAGAUCACAAAUCAUUAAUGAGAGUUUUUUCGAUGGAAGAUUUUUGUCUGUGAUCAUGUCGUUAAGGACAUGAAGCAAAGAGUGAACUUCUUCCUAAUAAACACGUGACUUGGGACGGCAUAACAAAUAGAGAUUAGAGAGUCUUGUCGUACCUUAUUUUGCCCUCUUCUUGAGCCACAAAUAAGCAGUUAACAUUUGAUGCAAUUGAUGGUACUAAAAUGGCCAGCAUCGUUUUUUCAAGAGAAACAUUUGACUUCCUUGUAUUAUUAGCUGCAUGAGAGUGAAAAGAAUAAAGAUUCAACUCCAGAGGAAAAACAACAAUACAGAUCUUAUUAACAUUUGACUUUCUCCAAUGGAAACAUGACAAUACAAUUGCAAAGGCUGGCCCCUUCGGCACCUAACAAGUAUCAAUAUCAAUGGUUUCUUUCAUGAAGUACAGAGCUUAUUAACUACAUCCUAGAGCAGUGGCAAACAUUGAAAAGCUUUUAUAAAACAAUAUUUGAAAUGAAAAUUCUAAGAAAUUGGUACUGAGCAGAAAAAGGGCACCUAAUUCAUAUGCAUCAACACGAACAUAUAGAUCAUAAAUUUCACUCCUUUCAUAUCUGAUGUCUACUAAUUCCUUGUACCAUGUCAAACUGUUGAUAAUAGGUAUAUAAAGAACUGAAUGUUGAUGAUAACCAGAAAAACAAAGAACAAAGAACUUGCAACAAAUUAAGAACAAAGAGCAGAAUGUUUUUCAUAUUGGUUACUGCCAUCCCUUAGCUUUUAUUUAUAGAUGAAAUCAAUCACAACACAAUUAAGAAACAUAAUUAACAUAAACUUCUUCAUUUAUGGAGCUAUGUAACUUAUCCUAAAUAAGUUUCAUAUCUAAAGGUAAAAACUCACUAAACAACAUUAAGAUAAUGAUGUUACUAAUAGAUAAACAUUAAUGAAAGAUAACAUAUGGCUGAGACAUUAAUUUCAGCUUUGGUGCCAUAACUUCAACACUCCUCCUUGGUUCCAAAGCUGCACAUUCCUAUCAUCUCCCUUAGAUCUUCAAAUCUAUCUUUAGCUAAAAGCUUGGUGAACAGGUCUGCUAAUUGCUCUUUUGAAGUGCAGUAUAUCAUCUCUAGUUCCCCUUCAUGCUGGAAUUGCCUGAUAGCAUGGAACUUGAUCUUCAUAUGCUUGGUCCUGUCAUGAAAAACAGAAUUCUUUGAAAUAGCUAUUGCUAAUGUAUUGUCACAGAACAAUUCUGUGGGACUUCGUUGAUCAAAGUCUAGAUCAUUCAGCAUUUUCCUUAGCCAUAACAAUUGCUUUGUUGCCACAUAUGCUGCUAUGUAUUCUGUCUAUUCAGUAGAAUGUGCAACCACUGAUUGCUUCUUUGAGUUCCAACAGAAAAUGCUUCCUCCAAUAGCAAAGCAAUAACCUGAGGUGCUCAUCAUUUCUUCAUCACUUCCAGCCCAAUCACUAUCAGAAAAACCAACAAGUUUAACAGAACUUGAUUUCACAAAAUGCAUGCCAAACUCUAAGGUCCCUUUCAGAUAUCUCAGAACUCUCUUGGCAGCAACAAAAUGGAUUUGACUUGGACUUUGCAUGAACCUAGAGAGGUAAUUGAUAGCAAAAACAAUGUCUGGACGUGCAGUAGUUAAAUACAACAAGCUGCCAACUAAACUUCUGUAGGCUUUUCCAUCAGUUUUGGGAGCUCCAUCCUCCUUCAUUAACUUUUGUCCCAGUACCAUAGGUGUACUGACUGGUUUGCAAUUUUCCAUUGCAAAUUUGUUUAGUAGCUUCGUUGUAAACCUCUUUUGACAUAGGAAAUAACCUUGCUCCGACUGAGUUACUUCCAUGCCUAAGAAGUAUGACAGCAAACCAAGUUCAUUCAUCUCAAACUUAUCCUUCAUGUUGGUUUUAAACUCCUCUACCAGCUGCUCCUUGUCUCCUGCAAUCAAUAAAUCAUCUACAUACACUGAUACGAUCAGAGUAUGUUUGUCAACAUUUUUCACAUACAAAGUUACUUCAUUCAUGCUUCUUUCAAAGCCUAAACUCAAAAGAUACCCAUCCAAUCUGCUGUACCAGGCUUUAGGAGCCUGUUUAAGUCCAUACAAAGCCUUCUUUAGCAAAUAUACUUUGUUUGAUGUGAUCUCCUUUUCAAAGCCAUCAGUUUGUUCAACAUAUAUUUCUUCAUUUAGAACACCAUUCAGAAAUGCAGACUUAACAUCCAACUGAAAAAUAUGCCAACCAUUUUGUGCUGCUAGAGCAAGCAAGAGUUUUAUUGUAUCAAGCCUAAAUACUGGAGCAAAUGUCUCAGUGAAGUCAAUACCUGGCUCUUGUGAAUAACCCUUCACUACAAGUCUUGCUUUGUGCUUGUUGAUACUCCCAUCUGCAUUCAGUUUGGUUUUGAAAAUCCAUUUCACACUAAUUACCUUCUUGUGAACGGGUCUGUCAACCAACAUCCAUGUUUCAUUCUUUUCUAUCAUCAUGAGCUCCUCCUUCAUUGCAGCUAUCCAUACUUGUGAGUUAAUAGCUUCUUCAAAAUCUAUUGGUUCUGCUUCAGCAACAUUGCACCUGCUGUAAAUCUCAGCUAAGGACCUUGUCUCCCUUACUGGUUUGUCAUUGACAGUAUCAUCAUCCUCUAUAGCAUCCAAUUUAAUUUGAUACUCUUGUUUUGUCUCUUCAAUUGAUGCAGCUUCCCAGUUCCAUGUACCAUUCUCUACAACUUUUACAUCUCUAGCAAUCACAACUUUAUUAGAUUUCAUAUCAUAGAUUUUAUAAGCCUUAGAUUUUGUGCUAUAGCCUAUAAGAAUUCCCAUAUCAGCCUUUUGAUCAAGUUUUCUUCUCUUUACUUCAGGUUGCAAGACAUAGCAAGGGCUGCCAAAAACUUUUAAAUGAUCAACAUUGGGUUUAAAGCCAUACCAUAUUUCAUAAGGAGUCUUAUCUCCUAACACUCUUGUGGUCAUAUGAUUUAGAAGGUAAGAUGUUGUGUUUACUGCUUCUGCCUAGAAUUUUAAUGGCAUUUUCUUCUCAUAUAGCAAACAUCUUGCCAUUUCCAUCAAUGUUCGGUUUCUCCUCUCACUGACUCCAUUCUGUUGUGGAGUGUAGGGAACUGUCAAUUGGUGUUUGAUCCCUUCUUUUGCCAAGUAUGCCUCAAAUUGUCGAGAGGUAUACUCUCCUCCAUUGUCAGAUCUCCAUAUCUUCAAUCUAUUUCUUGUUUCUACUUCAACUGCUGCUUUGAACUUAACAAACUCAGCAAACACAUCAGAUUUUGAUUUCAGAAAGUAAACCCAGCAGUACCUACUAUAAUCAUCAACAAAUAGAAGAAAAUACUUUGAACCAUUCAAUGAUUCAUUAUGCAUCGGCCCACACACAUCUGUGUGUACAAGGUGGAGUUUUGACAGUGCUCUAUAUGCAUUGUCAGGAAAAACAACUCUAGUUUGUUUUCCUAACUAACAGGCUUCAUAAAUACUCUUUUGUUCCUGUAUAUCUGGUAAACUGUGAGUCAUCUACAGGUCAGCCAUUCUCUUUAAAGUUGCAUAAUUGAAGUGCCCCAACCGUUUGUGCCAAAGAACAGAUUCAUUGUUCUCAUAAGUGUUAGCACUCAAACAUACUUCUCUCCAAUCAACAUUAAAACUUCUGUUCAUCAUUUUUGCAGAAAGCAGUAGCACUCCAUUUUUAUCGUUAAUAUCACAUACUCCAUCAUUAAAGAUUAUUGAGUAACCAUAUUCAAUUAAUUGUCCCACACUAACUAGAUUCUGAUUGAUCUUAGGUACAUAAAGAAUAUUUUUAAGAGUUUUUGUACCUGACAAUGUUUCUACUUCAAUUGCUCUUUUUCCUUCAACCUUCACAUAGUCUCCAUUGCCAAUUCUGACUCUAGAUAGAUAGCUUUUAUCCAAGUCUCUGAAUAAGCUCAAAUCUGCUGUCAUAUGGUUAGUGCAGCCACUAUCAUUGAGCCAUGAUGAGUCGUUUGCCUUUGCUGUGUUACACAUCUCCUGUAUUGUAGCCAUGAAUAAAAGAUCUUUCUUAACUUUUGAACAAUCGGCUACUUGAGCUUGUUUUACUGUUCCUGCUUUAUUUUUGCAGAAUCUUUGAAUGUGACCAAAUUGCUUGCAGUUUCGGCAUUGUGCAUUCUUGAGCCAACACCAGGCUUCAAGAUGAUUUGUUUUCUGACAGAAUUUGCAAGCAGGAAAAUGUUCUUUCUUCUCUUUCCCUCUAGUGAAGUUGUUGUUGUUCUGUUGCCAGUUAUUGGAUUGCCAGCCUUUCCCUUUUUUCUCUUUUUCCUUCUUGAUUGUUUUUGUAAAAAUUCUUAGCCCGACUCUUCUCCUUGUAAACUGCAACAAGAGCUCCUUCACUUGAUCCUUCUUGUCUAUAAGCUUGCCUUUGCUCCACAGCUUGCAAUGCAUUUACCAGUUCUUGCAGGCUCAUUUCAGAGAAAUCUUUAGAAUCUUCUAAAGAGCAAAUUUUAUGUUCAAAUUUUUCUGGUAGACUUACCAGAACUUUCUCUACUAUUCUUGAAUAUGAAAAAUCUUCUCCCAAAAGUCUCACUUGAUUCACAAGUUUUGAAAUUUGAGAAGAGAAGUCUUUGAUGGUUUCAUUUUCUUUCAUCUUUAAACCUUCAAACUAUCUUCUAAGAUUUAAAAUCUGCAUCUUCCAUGACUUCUCAUCACCAUGAAAUUCUGCUUUUAAUUUAUCCCAUGUUUCUUUGGCAGAUUUACACGCCAUGAUCCUUGUGAAAAUGUCUUCACUAACAGCAUUAUGAAGACAGGUAAGAGCUUUGAAUUGCUUUGCCUUUUCUUCAUUAAAAAAUUUCAUCUGUGCAAUCGUAGGAUUGUUUCCUAGUGGAAUUGGUUGCUUAUCGCUCUCCGCUAUCUCCCACAAGUCAAAAACUUUGAGAUAAGUUUCCAUUUUCACAGCCCACACACCAAAAUUCUACCCUGUGAACACUGGUGUUUUUGCUUGAAAAUUUACAGAAUCCAUUUCUUAAAAAAAAAUCACUUAAUCUCCCGUGUUUCACUCACAAUCCCUUCAAAGAAAAAUGCUUUGAUUUAACCUCACUAAUCUCUCGUGUUUCACUCACAAUCCCUUCAAAGAUCAAAGAAUGCUCUGAUACCAAUUGUUGAUAAUAGGUAUAUAAAGAACUGAAUGUUGAUGAUAACCAGAAAAACAAAAAACAAAGAACUUGCAACAAAGAACAAAGAGCAUAAUGUUUUUCAUAUUGGUUACUGCCAUCCCUUAGCUUUUAUUUAUAGAUGAAAUCAAUCACAACACAAUUAAGAAACAUAACUAAUAUAAACUUCUUCAUUUAUGGAGUUAUGUAACUUAUCCCUAAUAAGUUUCAUAUCUAAAGAAAGUAAAACUCACUGCAACACAUUAAAGAUAUGAUGUUACUAAUAGAUAAANNNNNNNNNNNNNNNNNNNNNNNNNNNNNNNNNNNNNNNNNNNNNNNNNNNNNNNNNNNNNNNNNNNNNNNNNNNNNNNNNNNNNNNNNNNNNNNNNNNNGGUGCCAUAACUUCAACACAACAACCAUCCCUUUUCCAGGAAUUCCCAAUGAUUGCGUUAUGCAGAGCAUGAACAAUUCCUCUUGCAUUCCAGUUCACAGGCUGCACGACUCUUGCUCUUGUCCAUUCAAGCUGCAGACGAAGUGUCCGGAAGACUGUAAUUCUCUAUCUUCACAAACCCUUCUCCAUGAUCGCACAACGAAGACGUCUGUAGCCGCUUCCUGACACAACCACCAGAUCCAUCUCUCGUAGACCAUUCCUUUGGGUACUUGGGCUCGAACCCAGGUAAACAGGCACAUCCAAAUCUAUUAUGAUUAGUAAGUUCACACGUACUAUCAGCACCACACAGUCCCUAAUAGUCGUCGCACUGAAACAGUGGGGUCUUCCAGUAAUCCUUCCACUGACCAUCACUUUCUCGCCAUGUUAACGCCUUUACAAGUCCUGGAUGAUCCACUAUUAUUCUUAGCAGAUAAGAAUCAUCAGGAACUGUGUAGACAAAGUACUUUUCGUCUGGAUCAUUUACAAAAGUGCUUUUGUAUAAGCCCAUCUGACUUCUCCAUGGCCAAGGGGGAGAUCUACUAAUUGGCUUUUUACCAUUAUAGAAAAAGAAUUGUGGCGAGCCUUUUGGGUUGAUCCUAACUGAAAAGUCCCUGAACCCAGGGUCUUCAGCUGAUCUCCAUGAUGUUAGGAACCGAUCAAUUCCUAAUUUUCGAUCCAGCCCCAGUUUCAUUCCAGGAAGCAGGAUGUUCGUAGGAUAAUCGAAGCUUUGCCAUACAGUUUUCCUGCUUCUUUUCCUGACCAAAAUCAAAUUUCCUGAAUCCAAGAGUUGGAGACACACAGGAAGCUUUGGGAGAACCACACAGGGAAAGGAGACCACACAGGAAGCUUUUGGUCAUCUUUCCCAUGGAGAACGGUUAAUAAAGAGAAAACCCAGAGAGAGAAAUCCAGAGGAACCAAUGAUUGGAUCGUUCCUGUUUGCAACCCACACCACAGUUUGUUCUGGUAUUUUAUGGUACCAAAUUCCAAGAUAUCUAUUGCUAAAACUGCCAGGACUGAAAAAUCCUAGUGCGAAAUAUUUUCUUGAGAUAAGAAGGUCACCUGUUUACUGUUUGGUUCGUCUUUAAGGAGUCUUGGGAUGUAGAAGAUGAGAAAUGGAGCAUUAUAAGAGAAAAAAGCAGGAGCAGUUUUUCAGCUUCCAUGAUGGGGCAAACUGGACCUUGGCUUUUGGACAAGUGAAUUGUUGCUUUGUGGAGAAAGGAGAUGGUCUUCAGACAAGUGUGGGACCAUUAGAGAAGCAGCGUGAAAAAAAUGGUUUUUUUUUUGUUUAUAGUGGUAAUGAUUUUAAAAAUAAAAAGUUAAAUGUAUUAAAAUAAUUUUUUUUUUUUAAUAUUAACUUAUUAAAGUAAUACAAAAAUAUAAAAAAAUUAAUUUUAAAUUAAUUUUUUUAAUUUUUGCAAAUCUUCAUUUAGACCACACUCCCAUGUUAUCAUAUAAUCGUGUCCUUUGUAUUCUAUAUUCGCUAGAAGGCAACUCAACUUUUUUUUCUUUUUAUGUUUGAUUUUAAUUUAUAAUAAACUAAUUUGAUAUAAUAUAUAUUAUGGUGAUAUCUAAGAUUUCGGAUGAUUAUUUAAGACAUGAGUUCUCUAAAUACCUCAAAUUUACUAGAUUAAUGAUAUUAUUGAAGAUGAUGGUUUUUCAAUUAAGAAAGAAUAUUAAUUUGGUGAAAUUGGCCAUAUUGUGAUGCAAAGAUAUUGUGAAUAUCACAAUACAUGACUUUAUUCUUAGUUUAUUGUGCAUGUUAUGAGAUAAAUUGAAAUUGAUUUGUCCUCCAAAAUCAUAAAUCAUAUAAUUGAGAUAGUAAAAUUCAAAAAAAAAAAAAAUACUUUGUUGUUACUAAUCUUAAAAAGGGAAAGAAUUGAUACAAUGGCGGACAUCAUAAGUUUUAAAUCCAUAAAACAACUAUUUUUUUUUUGUAUUUAAUUUUUUCAAUUUUAUUCAUCUAGUCGAAUUGAUAGUAAUUUUCAAUUUUUUUUAUUUAAUUUUUUCAAUCAUUAUUCAUCUAGUUGAAUUGAUUUUUUUUAAUUAAAGUAACUAUCCAUAAAAGAAUAGUUGACGAACACCACACCUAUAGCAUAACAUAUGAUGAUGCUGUUAGGUUUCUUCCUUGACACUAGGCAGAAUGGAUCAGUUGUUUAGAAUCAGGCUGGGAGUUUUAGCAGUGCUGAAGAGCUUGAUCUGUUGUGAUGUGCAGCAUAUUUGUUUUCAUUACAAAUCUAAUGGAACUUCAUAUUAGCAAUUUUUCAGACAGCACAGCUUCAGCGACAAGCAAUUUCAGAAAUUGUAACCUCAUUUAGAGAACACUGUCCAUCUUCAACGCCUAAUGCUAUAUCAGGAUUAUUGUCAGAUUUUCUGAAGAGGAAUGCAGGUUGUUUUGGAGAAGGAAUCUCUGUUUCACUACUCAACAUAAAAACAACCGCCAACAUAGAUGGUCUGUCCGUGGCAUCUUCUUGCACGCACAGCAGACCAAUCUGCACGCAUUUCAAAGCUUCACGCGGAUCAUACAACUCCGUCAGUGAUGGAUCAACUAUCUCCAAUGCUUUUUCUUCUCUCCAUAAUUCCCACACCUGUAUUGUUCAUAUAAAUCAUUAACAUACAAGAAAUAAGAGCAGACAACAUCUAAAAUUGUGAACAUUGAAACUCAGCCAAGAGCACAAAAGGCUAUCUUAUAACUCACAUAUCCAAUCAAGGUCAAAGGAGGAUUCUGUUGAUAAAAUCUAUUGUUCUUCUUGCCACUAGCAAUCUCUAGCAACAUGACCCCAAAACUGAAAACAUCUGAUUUUGCGGAAAAGUUUCCAAACACAACAUAUUCUGGUGACAUAUAGCCACUGCAUCAGAAAAACAAUAGUAGUUUUAGUAUUCCAGGUAAUCAAUGAUAGUACUUUGUCACUCGGUCUUUGUUUUAGGCAAAGGUACUUACUAUGUUCCCACAACUCUCCUUGUCCUGUCUUCAGUUCGGUUGCCUUCAAAUAUUUUUGCCAUUCCAAAAUCUGAUAUUUUUGGGUUCAUAUCUGCAUCCAAUAGAAUGUUGCUGCAUUUUAAAUCCCUGUGAAUGAUUCUCAACCUGGAGUCUUGGUGAAGAUAUAAAAUCCCACGAGCUAUUCCAACAAUAAUAUCAAAGCGUUUUCGCCAAUCCAAUAACAAUCUUCUGCUUUCAUCUGUUGAAACAAUUAUUUUUCAGACAGGUAUAAUUUGACAACUAGUGUAAAUCAGGGCAGUAAAUACUUAAAAAGACUUACCGAAGAGAAACGAGUCCAAGCUUUUGUUAGGCAAGUAUUCAUAGAUUAACAUUUGUUCUCCAUCCUGAGUGCAAUAACCUAGAAGUUUCACCAGAUUCCUGUGUUGAAGCAUUGCAAUUACCAUAACUUCAUUUUUAAAUUCUUCUGUUCCUUGUCCUGAACUUCUAGACAACCUUUUUAUUGCAACCUCCUUUCCAUUAGCUAGCAGACCCUAAAAUCAUGUUACAAGAUUAAGCCUCUAAAUUACAAUUAUGAAAAUUAGAGAAACUGUAGUAUUGAGAAGCCAUUUAGUUUUUAGCUAAAUGCAAGAAACGCAACCUUAUAAACAGAGCCAAAACCACCUUGCCCGAGUUUGUUAGCUGGAGAGAAAUUGUUAGUGGCCGCCGUUACGGUGCUGAGCUUGAAAUAUUCCAAUUCAGUAGAAGUGCUGUUUACCUGCAGUUCAGAACCUUUUUUGGCUCUCUUCUUGAACCACAAAUAAGCAAACAGGCUAAUGAGAAACCACAAUAAUGCAAUUGAUGGUGCUGAAACGGCCUGCAUCGUUUUUUCACAAGAAUCAUUUGACUUCCUUUUAGUAUCAGCUGCAUGAGAAUGAAAAGAAUAAAGAUUAACUCUAUAGGAAAAACCACCCCAUUUUCCAAAGGAAAUAUGACAAUACAUACAAGGGUAGCCCUUUUGGCACCUAAAACGUACCAAUAUCUAUGGUUUCUUUCCUGCAGGGAAGAGCUUAUUAACUACAGUCAAGAGCAGUGACAAGCAUAGGAAAGCUCUUAUGAAUCAAUAUUUGUGAUGACAAUCCUAUGAAGUAGUUACUGAGCAGAAAAAGGGUACCUAAUUCAUAUGCAUCAACACGAACAUACAGAUCAUGACUUUCACUCCUAUCAUAUCUAAUGUCUACUAAUUCCUUGUACCAUGUCAAACAACCAUAAUUUUUUCCGGGAAUUGCAAUGAUUGCGUAUGCAGAGCAUGAGCAAUUCCUCUUGCAUUGCACUUCGCAGUCUGCAAGACUCUUGCUCAUAUCCACCCAAACUGCAGCUGAACUUUCCGGAAGAGCUACAUUUUCCACCUUCACAAACCCUUCUCCAUGCUGGCACACCGAAGACGUAUGUAGCCGCUUCCUGACACAACCACCGGACCCAUCUCUCGUAGACCAUUCCAAUGGGUACUUGGGCUCGAACCCAGGUAAACAGGCACAUCCAAAUUCAUUUGCAUUGGCGAGUUCACACGUACUAUAAGCACCACAAAUUCCAUAAUAGUGGCACUGAAACUGAGGGGACUUCCAGUAUUCCUUCCACCGACCAUCACUUUCUCGCCAUGUUAAAGCCUUUACUACUCCUGAAUGAUCCACUAUUAUUCUUAUCAGAUAAGAAUCAUCAGGAACUGUGUAGAAAGAGUACUUUUCGUCUGGAUCAUUUACAAAAGUGCUUGUGUAUAAGCCCAUCUGACUUCUCCAUGGCCAAGGGGGAGAUCUACAAAUUGGUUUUUUACCAUUAUAGAAGAAGAAUUGUGGCGAGCCAUUUGGGUUGAUCCUAACUGAAAAGUCCCCGAACCCAGGGUCUUCGGCUGAUCUCCAUGAUGUUAGGAACCGAUCAAUUCCUAAUUUUCGAUCCAGCCCCAGUUUCAUUCCAGGAAGCAGGAUGUUCGUAGGAUAAUCGAAGCUUUGCCAUACUGUUUUUCUGCUUCUUUUCCUGACCAAUAUCAAAUUUCCUGAAUCCAAGAGUUGAGCUUCACAAGUAUCAUUUUCUUCCACUGAAACAUUUGUAGACCACACAGGAAGCUUUCGGUCAUCGUUACCAUAGAGAAUGAGGUUACCAUAUUGGUCUACAAAGAGAAAUCCUGAGGAACCAAUGAUUGGAUCGUUCCUGUUUGCAACCCACACCACAGUUUGUUCUGGUACUUUAUGGUACCAAAUUCCAAGAUAUCUAUUGCUAGAACUACCUGGACUGAAAAAUCCCAGUGCGAAAUUAUUUCCUUUGGAGAUAAGAAGGUCACCUUCUUUAAUGGUUUGGUUCGUCUUUAAGGAGUCGUGGGAUGUACAAGAUGAGAAUUGGAGCAUUAAAAGAGAAAAAAACAGGAACGGUUUUUCAGCUUCCAUUAUUGGGAAACUGGAUCUUGGCUUUUGGACAAUUUGAAUGUUGCUUUGUAGAGAAAGGAGGUGUUCUUCAGACAAGUGUGCGACCAUUAGAGAAGUUACGUGAAAAAAGUGGUUAUUGUGGGAUUUUUGUUUUAUGGGUAGGCUGUUCGGAAAUGAAUAAUAAUUAUUUUCUAAAAUGUUUUUUUAUUAAAAAUAUAUUAAAAUAUUAAUUUUUCGAUCAUGAAACUAUUAAUUUAUCCAAAAAUAUUUUGAUUCAAUAUACACUAAGUAUUUCAAUUUUUAUUUUUUUUGCGCGCGUGGCGUUUAGAUAAGACAAAUGUACAUUUACAUAUUUUUCUCACAAUUCUUUGGUAUUGGACUUCUAAAUGUUUUCUUAAGCCACGUGCCGCUGUCGGCAAAAUAUUAUUUUGACUUUUAGGGUCCUAUCGUUUGGUCGUUGGUCCUCCUAGAGUCAAGGAGUUUUUUUAAACAGGUAUCCGGGGAGGAGGGAAUUAAAAUCACCUCCAGGAAAUCUCCAUAGCUGUUGACUAGCACACCGUUGAUUUCUUGUUCAGUUUACUAAUCAGCUAUCCACUCUUUAAUCCCUGGAUUACUUUUCUAACUUCCUUUUUUUUCUUUUUUUUUUAUUCCAAGGUUAGGUAAAACACGAAUGGUUUAUGUGCUUCCAUCUCAGAAGCAAUUAAAUUGAAUAUUUAGUAGACUUUAUUAUUAGUUUAUUGUGCAUGUUAUGAGAGAAAUUGUAAUUGAUUUGUCCUACAAAAUCAUAAAUCAUAUAAUUGAGAAUGUAAAAUUAAAAAAAAAACAUAAAAGUUUAGUAAUGGUCUUAAAAAGGGAAAGAAUUGAUAUAUGUGCUAUGGAGGGUAUGGUGACUUUUAAAUCCAAAAAAAAAAAACUAUUUAAUUUUUUUAUUUAAUCAAGCUAACUUUCUGUUUUUUUAUUUAGUUUUUUCAAUCAUCAUUCAUCUAGUUGAAUUGAUUUUUUUUCAAAAUAAGGAGUUUUACAAGGACUAAAUUGCAUAAAUGUUAAGGGUGCAAUUUUGUAUUUUAGAUUAGGACACAUUAUGCUUAAAUAAUAUUUAUUUAAUAUUCUAAUAUUUAUUUGAUUUGAUUUUUGUUAGUUAUGUCAACUUAAUUCAUUAUUUAAAACAAUGUUAUACUUUAUAAGUGGCAUUCCAUAAUUGAUAUUUAAAAUUUAUUAAAUCAGAAUUAUUUUUAUUGUUUAACUACAAUUUUCAAAUUUAAGAAACUUUGAUUUAUUAAUUUCCCCAUGCACUGCAUCACUUGAACUUUACUCUUUAGGGUUUUCUUUCUAGUGGGCAUCAUGAGAAGAUACGCAUGAUUCAAGAAGGUACUGUUUUUUAAUAUUAAAAUAGUAAUAUAUCAAAAUUUAUUUUUUAAAUAUUAAAAUAAUAACAUAUUAAUUAAUUAGUCAAUCUCAAUUAAUCAUCCAAAUUUAUAAUCAAAGUUAUAAAACUAUAAAAACCUUAUGAAAAAAUUAAAACAAAUAAUUAUGUUGAAUUUCAAAACAAUUAUUUGAAGAAUGAAAUUUAAAAUUAAAAAAAAAGAUUCAAAUGAACCCAAAUCAAUUUAUUAAAUCCAUAAUUCGAGUUAUCUAUUCCACACUUGACAAUUGUUUUUUGCUCUUACAUUAUUUUGCAUUUAAUUACACAACAAAAAAUCUAAAAAUAAAGAACAAACAUUACAUGCGUGUGGGAUUUAAAAAAAAAAUGUUUAACUAACUUUUUUUUUUUUUUAAUCUUCAGGGGGGCUGAAAAUGCAUUAAGUAAAAAAUAAAAACAUUUUCAAAAAUUAACAAUCCAUCCAGGGGCAUCACCCACCCAUCCACCUACCUGACUAUAUAAAAAUAAAAAAUAAAAAUUAAAAUAUUUAAUGAAAAACAAGUUUUAAAAAAUAAAAAUUAAACUAAGUUAAUAUGUUAUAUUCAUGACCUGAUUCAUUUAUCCCACUAAAUUUAAUACCAUAUUAUUUAUUAAGAUAUUUUUCAUUUUGUUAUACAUCAAUGGAUGCAAGAUGUUUUUUAUAUCAAAUAAAAAAAAUAAAAAUAAAACAAAUAGGAUAGGCACGUGGGACAACACAAUGACCUAUUUUUUAAAGUAAAAUAAGAAAAAUGGUUUUUUAUAAGCCAAUUUAAAAAGGAAAAAAAAAAGUAGAAGAGGUCACAUGUAUUAUCUAUGCAAUGACCAUAAAAGCAUACCAAAUAAAAUAUCAUGAACUAAACAUAUCAUAUUUAUAUCUAAGCAAUUCACUUAAUUUAAUUAAAAAAACAAAAUUUAUUUUUUAAGAAAAGCUAAAUUUAACAAAAAACGAUGAAAAAAAAGACUCGAGAAAACCUAAGUCAUUUUUAAAAUUAGUAACAAAACCCUAUAGACAGUAAAUAAAAAAACAAAACUCAAUAUCUAAUUAAAUGAAAUGUUGAAGGAUAAAACUAAAAAAAAAAUAUAUAAGUUUGAAAACAAGAACAAAAAAUGAAUCGGAGCAAAUGCUCAAAAUCUAAGUUAAUCUCCUUAAUUCAUAACCUAUUAAAUCUUAGAUCUAGACUCAAUAAAAAAGUUUAAUUCAAUGUUAAAGGAUAAAAUAAAAUAAAAACAUUGUAAUUUUGUUUUGUCAAAGUAAAGAAAGUAGCAAUAAAAAAAUGAAGGUGGACAAAAUAUUUUUAAAAAAUUAAUUUUAAAAAUGAUCUCAAAUAAAAUAAAAGGCAGUCAAAAGAAUGAAUACAAAAUUUAAUAUAUUAAUAAAAUUAAAAGGAUAAUGAAAGUAAAAAUAAUCAAAUCAAAAAAUAAAGAUCAAAUCAAAAGAAAAAAAUAAUGGUUACUGUGAAAUUUUGAAAGGCUAUUAUGGAAAUCAAAGAUGAGAGAUAAAAAGAAAAAAAAAGCCAACCAAGGCCAAACUAAAUGGACUUACAUCACACACAACACCUAGAGAGGUAGGUCGUAUUAUGAUGAAUUGAAAACACCAAAGAAAGCUAUUUUUAAUAGUUGUAAGCUGCCACACAUACCGUUUAAACACAAAAGAAAGGCUUAUUCACUUAUAUGUGCAAUGAAUGCAUCAACUAUUUUUGCUUUUUUUUUUCCUUUACAUUUAUUGAAAGACUAAAUUGACUACAUAAUAAUAUUAACAACAACAAUAACAAUAAUAAAAAUAAAAAACAAAAGAAAAGUACAAAUUAGCCUUUAGAGGCCUCUAAGUUAGAAAAUUUUGAUUUCAUGGAUAAUAUAAUUAUUUUACCGUGCUAUAAAAUAUAAAAUAUAAAACAAUGCCUCUAUACAUUAGGAACAUAGUUUUUUAAAAGCAUUUAAGUACUUAUACUAUAUAAAAAAAUGAAAAGACCAAGAAACCUAUGAUUAAUUUUAUAAUGAUCAAUGAAGCAUGCAAAAGCCUGCAUUACCCCUGAUAGAUAGGCAAAGUUUUUAUGUGAGAAGGGAAAUAGUAAAUUUACUGCUAUAAUCCAUAAUAAUUCAACACAUAUCUAUAAUAAUUUUUCCAUGGGGUUUAGGUUUUUGUUAAUUCUACAUUGAAAUCAGGAAUUAAUGUAUUUACAAUAAUCAUUUAACUGGCUUGGUAUCAUAGUCUAUCAACUAAAAAAAACAUCUUAAAUAAAACUAAAACAUAAUAAAAGAAUUUCAAAUCAAAUAGAAAAAAGAAUUGUAAAUCAACUAAAAAAAUAUUGAAAAUCCCAAACAAUAAUUUCUUAGACUUAUUUGAAAGUCUUCCUACAUUUGGAUGAAUAUAAAAUUUUAACUUUAUAGAAAAUAAAAACUUUAAAAUUUUUUAUCAAAAUUUUAAUUUCUUCCAACAAUUAAAUCAAAAGUUAAGUUGUAUUUUAAAAAAAUAGUCUACUACAAUAAAAUAGCUUGAAAGAAAACACUAUUAGGACCAGUGGUUUUUCAAAAACACCAGCAUUUCCUUGCCAGUGGUGCUGUUUCUUAAGAAAAAAAAAAUCGCCCUGUGCUAGUUUUUCAAUUUUAUUUAAAGGUACUAAAUUUAAAAAAAAUCAGAAAAAAACACUGGAACAUAGUUCAGGAAAAAAGAGAAAAGGAUCUGAACCAAAAAUUUAUUUAAACCUAACACACAAGAACAUAGCAUCCAAUUGGUUUUAUGUUGACUAGCACGGUUUAAUCGAAGAAUUCUAGUCUUAACCUCGGAUUGCCUUACCAUACCAUUAUAUCUAGAAUGUUCACUUAUUUGGGAGGUUUUUCAUUGACUUGGCGUGAGAGGUUUUUAGAGAUUAUAGACUCACAAAUUCUAUGAUCAUUUUUUCUGGUUUCUAGGUUUUAUUUUGAGACACUUUCUAUUUUAUGGCUUGCUUCUAUGAGUCGUCUUAACACCAUUGAUAAAGUAUAUAUUUUUCAAAUCAUUCUCUCUUCGAUAUGUAUCCUUUGUAGGUCAUAAGUUGAAACACAUGAACAUUUAGUCUUUUAGUGCCCUUUUGCUGUUAUAGUUUAGGGUGCUAUCACAAGCAUAACCCUUAUGGUUUGAUCUUUUUUGACAUGGUGUCAUCUACUUUAGUGGGCAUAUAAACACUUGAAAAAGAAGGAAUUUAUGUAUCUACUUGCUCGAUUAGCCCUCUUAGCCUAAGUUUACUUCAUCUAGCAUAAGAGAAAUAACCGAGUCUUUCAUUAGAUUUUCCGAUCUCAUUAGGAUAUUUGCAAAAACAUUUUUUAUUUGGUCUAGUUCUAUUUAGUAGAGCUCGAACCAAGGUUUCACAUCUCAACUACUUUCAAAUCCAUUUGGUGCUUUCGAGAGUCACGAGAUAUCAUUGUUCUUACUAAUUUCAAGAUUUUAUUUAACACAUGUUCAUAUGUAAUAAACUAGUUAACUGGUUAAAUAAUUUCAAAAACUGGUUAAUCGGCUCAUCUGUUAUUUGUCUUCACAAUCUACUUUUGUAUGUUUUUCAAUUUCUUUUUUAACUUUGGCUUCUUUUCCUUUUUAAUUUUGAUUAGAUGAAGUUUUGAUUAGAUGAAGUAACAAGCUUUUUUAUACAUAUUGGGGUGUACCCCUAUAAUUUCUUCCCUUUAAUACAAUUACUUUUGUGAUGUUUUGAAAUUAAAUGAGUAGGUAAAAGGCAAUAAAGCCCUUGAAGGCUAAAAAUGAGUAUAAAUAAAUAAGGGGUAUUGUAGUAAUUGAACAAAGAGUUGAUAAAUAUAAAUAGAAAAGAAAAUAGAAGAGAGAGCUGUGUUUUAAGAGUGAAAACUGACAGGAGAAGAGAAGAAAAGGGGAGGAAGAAGAAGAGAAAAGAGGGAAAGAUAAGGAAAGGAGAAGAGAAUUGGAGGAAAUAAGUUUAAAGGUAAGAUUAUGUAUAAAUGUGUGUUCUUUAAGCUUUAAGUUCUGUUUUGAUAAAUGUUAGGGUUUUGAAUAUUGUGUUUUGAGUUUGAUUGAUGAAUUAAUUGGAAUGUUAUGGGUUGAUUGUUGUGGGUAAUUGGUUAAUUGGUUGAUUGUGAAAGAUUGGAGGUAAAGAUGAUGAUUUUGAGUUAUGAUUUUAUUUGAAUGGUGAAAUUGUGUUAGAAAUCAGGAGAUGACAGUAGGUAAUCUGUGAAAUUCUGGGUUUGAGGUUGAAGAUGAUGAAAAUUCAAUUUGGUCCCUCAAUUUGUGAAAUUACAGUUUGGUCCCUAAACUUUGGGAAAAUUAUAAUUUGACCCCUAAUUGUAUUUUGAGAUUCUGGACAGUGUUAUUAUGAGGUUAAGGAUGAUGAAUCUCAGUUUGAUAAUUGAUUGGGAAUAUUUUCAGUUUGGUCCCUCAAUUUUGGGAAUUUACAUUUUAGUCCCUGAACUUUAUGAAAAUUACAUUUCGGUCCCUGGUUCGUUCUAGACAGAAUUAAGGAUGGUUUAUGGGUGAAAAUUCAGUAUAGUUAUGUAUUUUCCAGAUUGGUCCAAUUUUGGUAAAAUUACGUUUUGGUCCCUGUUUUGGAAAAUUGUCGUUUUAGUCCAUUAAAUUAGGAGAAUAAACCUGGUUUUAUUUUAUGCAUUGGGAUCUCUUGUUUGAGUUGCUUUUGAGUAUAUUUUCAUAUUGUUGUAGGUUCUCCUAACGAUCCUCAAUAGGAUUUUCGGGUCUUUCGUCUGACAUUCCUUUUUGUUCUAUAUUUUCCGGGUGAGUGGGAUAAUCUUUAAUAUGCAUAUAUGAUAAUUAAAUAUGUAUGUUGAUUAUACAAUGAGUACAACUCGUUAAUUUCUUGAAUAAUUAUAUAUGUUGCUUAUUUUCCGAAUACUCAUUUAUUCUUGAAUUUGCACUCGCAAUCUGUCAAAGUAAAUUCUAUUUGAUAUGAUAUACGUUUCUUUGAUGAUUAUGUAAAUAUCUAUUAUGCCUUGAUAUGAGACUUGUCAGUAACUCCAUGCUAACGGAGAGUAGUUAGUCUAUGUGCACAUAGUAUUCUGUAAACCUAGCUGGUGAGAGAGGCAUCAGCCUGUGGCGACUGAUCAUCCCACAGUGGUCACCUUUGGGUGUCAUCUGGUCACCUUCGGGUGUCAUCUGGUCACCUUCGGGUGUCAUCUGAUCUCUGACAUGUACUCCACUACGUUAUGAUGAUAUGUUCAGUAUGUAUAUGUAUAUGUAUAUCAAGAUAAAUGAUCUUGCGAACUAUUAAUAUCAAGAAUAUCUAAAAUGUAUAUUAAUUAUUAUUCCCUCACUGAGUUGGUUGAACUCACCCCUCAUUCUUAAUAUUAUUUCAGGUUCUUAGUUUCUGAUAGCAGGUGAACUUUGUUGAGUGUUCCUGCUUCUUCAGUUUUAAGUUGGUAUGCCUUACUUAUCUUUCAAGGCUGUUUGAUUCGAUGUCUUAGGCGCUCCACUAUUACCUUGUUUUGAUUAAGUUUGGAUUUUUGACAAUGUAAUGAGUAUUAUGAAUUAUUGUUUUUGUUUUAAUUACUGAUGAGGAGUUUUAAACUACCUUUUGGUUUUAUCAGUUUUGAAUAAUAUAAUAUUUCUGAAGAUUAUGAAAUGCUGCGUAUUUUUGAAUAAAUUAUUCUUUUGAUAUGUUCGUUUUGAGGCUUAGCNNNNNNNNNNNNNNNNNNNNNNNNNNNNNNNNNNNNNNNNNNNNNNNNNNNNNNNNNNNNNNNNNNNNNNNNNNNNNNNNNNNNNNNNNNNNNNNNNNNNNNNNNNNNNNNNNNNNNNNNNNNNNNNNNNNNNNNNNNNNNNNNNNNNNNNNNNNNNNNNNNNNNNNNNNNNNNNNNNNNNNNNNNNNNNNNNNNNNNNNNNNNNNNNNNNNNNNNNNNNNNNNNNNNNNNNNNNNNNNNNNNNNNNNNNNNNNNNNNNNNNNNNNNNNNNNNNNNNNNNNNNNNNNNNNNNNNNNNNNNNNNNAGACAAAGCAAGCAUCAUAACAUAAAUGUAGAUCGAGUAAAUAUCCACAAAAGAAUAGCAGACGAACACCACCCAUGUAGCAUUCCUUAUGAUGAUGCUGUUAGAUUUCUUCCUUGACACUAGGCAGAAAGGAUCAGUUGUUUAGAAUCAGGUUGGGAAUUUUAGCAGUGGGUACAUCGAGUGGAGAAAAGCUUGAUCUGUAGACUGUCUUGAGGAAAGGCAUUGACUAGCGUUUUCCCAUAAUUGAAAUUGCUACUAAUUAAGAUACUUGGAUGGAAAACGAGCCUUGAAAACAACAAAUCUUAGCCCUCCAAACAACCAUUAUAAAUAUUAUAUAAAUAAAAUAUUAAAAGAAAAGGACUACUUAUUUGAAAGCUAGUACAGUUCUAGCUCCUGCAUCAAAAGGAAAGCAGGUUGUUUAGGAGAAGGAAUUGUUGUUUCACUACUUGACAUAAGAACAAGAGACCGACUUGUAUGCAUUUCAAGGCUUUUAGGGGAAAAUAUAACUCCUCCAGUGAUGAAUCAACUAUCUCCAAUGCAUCGUCAGAAAUCAUUGUUAUUUAACUUUUCAUUGAAUUGGAUUGUUCGUGCAUGGUGGUGUGUGUAAAAUCUCAAAUCCCCAAUUUAGCAACAAGUAUUUUCAUUUCAAAUCUAAUGGAACUUCAUUUUAGCAAUUUUUCAGACAGCACAGCUUCAGCGACAGGCAAUUUCAGUAAUUGUCACCUCAUUUAGAGAACACUGUCCAUCUUCUACGUCUAAUGCUUUAUCAGAUUUUGUAAAGAGGAAUGCAGGUUGUUUUGGAGAAGGAAUCUCUGUUUCGUUACUCAACAUAAAAACAACCGCCAACAUAGAUGGUCUGUCCGUGGCAUCUUCUUGCACGCACAGGAGACCAAUUUGUAUGCAUUUCAAGGCUUCACGCGGAUGAUACAACUCGUUCAGUGAUGGAUCAACUAUCUCCAAUGCUUUGUCUUCUCUCCAUAAUUCCCACACCUGUGUUGUUCAUAUAAAUCAUUAGCAUACAAGAAAUGAGAGCAGACAACAUCUAAAAUUGUGAACAUUGAAAUUCAACCAAGAGCACUAAAAACUCUCUUGUAACUCACAUAUCCAAUCAAGGUCAAGGGAGGAUUCUGUUGAUAAAAUCUAUUGUUCUUCUUGCCACUCACAAUCUCUAACAACAUGACCCCAAAACUGAAAACAUCUGAUUUUACAGAAAAGUUUCCAAACACAGCAUAUUCUGGUGACAUGUAGCCACUGCAUCAGAAAAACAAGAUUCUGAAGUUUUAGUAUUCCUGGUAAUCGAUGAUAGUACUUUGUCACUCGGUCUUUGUUUUAGGCAAAGGUACUUACUAUGUUCCUACAACUCUCCUUGUCCUAUCUUCAGUUUGGUUGCCCUCAAAUAUUUUUGCCAUUCCAAAAUCUGAUAUUUUUGGGUUCAUCUCUGCAUCCAAUAGAAUGUUGCUGCAUUUUAAAUCCCUGUGAAUGAUUCUCAACCUGGAGUCUUGGUGAAGAUAUAAAAUCCCACGAGCUAUUCCAACAAUAAUAUCAAAGCGUUUUCGCCAAUCCAAUAACAAUCUUCUGCUUUCAUCUGUUGAAACAAUUAUUUUUCAGCCAGGUAUAAUUUGACAACUAGUGUAAAUCAGGGCAACAAAAACAUAAAGAGACUUACGGAAAAGAAACGAGUCCAAGCUUUUGUUUGGCAAGUAUUCGUAGAUUAAGAUUUGUUCUCCAUCCUGAGUGCAGUAACCUAGAAGUUUCACCAGAUUCCUGUGUUGAAGCUUUGCAAUUACCAUAACUUCAUUUUUAAAUUCUUCUGUUCCUUGUCCUGAACUUCUAGAUAACCUUUUUAUUGCAACCUCCAGUCCAUUAGCCAGCAGACCCUAAAAUCAUCUUACAAGAUCAAGCCUCUGGACUACAAUUAUGCAAAUUAGAGAGGCCAUUUAGUUUUUAGCUAAAUGCAAGAAACUCAACCUUAUAAACAGAGCCAAAACCACCUUGCCCGAGUUUGUUAGCUGGAGAGAAAUUGUUAGUGGCCGCCGUUAUGGUGCUGAGCUUGAAAUAUUCCAAUUCAGUAGAAGUGCUGUUUACCUGCAGUUCAGUACCUUCUUUUGCUCUCUUCUUGAGCCACAAAUAAGUAUACAGGCCAACGAGAAACCACGACAAUGCAAUUGAUGGUGCUAAAAUGGCCAGCAUCGGUUUUUCACGAGAACCAUUUGACUUCCUUGUAGUAUCAGCUGCACGAGAGUGAAAAGAAUAAAGAUUUAACUCUAUAGGAAAAGGCACCCCAUUUUCCAAUCGAAAUAUGACAAUACAUAUGGCAAAGGGUAGCCCUUUUGGCACCUAAAACGUACCAAUAUCUAUGGUUUCUUUCCUGCAGUGAAGAGCUUAUUAACUACAGUCAAGAGCAGUGACAAGCAUAGGAAAGCUCUUAUAAAUCAAUAUUUGUAAUGACAAUCCUAUGAAGUAGUUACUGAGCAGAAAAAGGGUACCUAAUUCAUAUGCAUCAACACGAACAUACAGAUCAUGACUUUCACUCCUAGCAUACUUAAUGUCUUCUAAUUCCUUGUACCAUGUCAAACAACCAUAAUUUUUUCCGGGAAUUGCAAUGAUUGCAUAUGCAGAGCAUGAGCAAUUCCUCUUGCAUUGCACUUCGCAGUCUGCAAGACUCUUGCUCAUAUCCACCCAAACUGCAGCUGAACUUUCCGGAAGAACUACAUUUUCCACCUUCACAAACCCUUCUCCAUGCUGGCACAUCGAAGACGUAUGUAGCCGCUUCCUGACACAACCACCGGUCCCAUCUAGCACAGACCAUUCCAAUGGGUACUUGGGCUCGAACCCAGGUAAACAGGCACAUCCAAAUUCAUUUAGAUUCGCAAGUUCACACGUACUAUAAGCACCACAAUGUCCAUAAUAGUCGCAGUGAAACUGAGGGUACUUCCAGUAUUCCUUCCACUGACCAUCACUUUCUCGCCAUGUUAAAGCCCUUACAUGUCCUGGAUGAUCCAUUAUUAAUCUUAGCAGAUAAGAAUUAUCAGGAACUGUGUAGACCCAGUAUAUUUCAUCUGGAUCAUUUACAAAAGUGCUUUGGUGUAAGCCUACUUGACUUCUCCAUGGCCAAGGAGGAGAUCUACUAAAUGGCUUUGUACCAUUAUAGAUAAAGAUUUGCGGGGUGCCAUUUGGGUUGAUCAUAAGAGAAAAGUCUCCAAUCCCAGGGUCUUCAGCUGAUCUCCAUGAUGUUAGGAACCGAUCAAUUCCUAAUUUUCGAUCCAGCCCCAGUUUCAUUCCAGGAAGCAUGAUGUUCGUAGGAUAAUCGAAGCUUUGCCAUACAGUUUUUCUGCUUCUUUUCCUGACCAAUAUCAAAUUUCCUGAAUCCAAGAGUUGAGCUUCACAAGUAUCAUUUUCUUCCACUGAAACAUUUGUAGACCACACAGGAAGCUUUUGGUCAUCGUUACCAUAGAGAACGAGGUUACCAUAUUGGUUUAUAAAGAGAAAUCCUGAGGAACCAAUGAUUGGAUCGUUCCUGUUUGCAACCCACACCACAGUUUGUUCUGGUACUUUAUGGUACCAAAUUCCAAGAUAUCUAUUGCUAGAACUACCUGGACUGAAAAAUCCUAGUGCAAAAUUAUUUCCUUCGGAGAUAAGAACGUCACCUUCUUUAAUGGUUUGGUUGGUCUUUAAGGAGUCUAGUGAUGUACAUGAUGAGAAUUGGAGCAGUAAAAGAGAAAAAAGCAGGAACAGUUUUUCAGCUUCCAUGAUGGGGUAAAGUGGAUCUUGGCUUUUGGAAAGUGUCAAAUUUUGCUUUGUGGAGAAUGGAUAUGGCCUUCAGACAAGUCUCCAGAGAAGUUGCGUGACGGAAUUAGGCAUCUCUUUAAUGAGUUACUCUUUUCAACCUUCAAAGUCUAGGCAAUGACUUGUUUUUGUUAAAAUAUCAAUUCAGAUUUUUUGGAAACGACACAGUCCUCUAGUUUUAGAAAUAUGUAGUAGGUUGCAGACACAUACAAAAACGACAUAAAAAAGACAAUAAACACAAAGAAAGAUAGAAUUGCGUCGAAAAAGACAUCAACCAUAAUAAUUAUAAUUCAAACUUUUAUUAGUCAAUAUUUUUCUAAACAAAUUUAAAUAUUAAAACUUUUCAUAAAUCACCAUAAACAAAACUUAAAAAUUAAUAAAAUAUUUCUAAAGUAAAUAGAAAAAAAUAUUAAAUCAACUUGGAAAAUAUGACAUUUUCAAAAUAGUAAUUUCUAGUACUAGCUUGGAGGCCUUAACGAGCUUAGAUGCCUUCAUAAAUCAAACCCUAUACAGAGAUCAUGGCUUCUAGAAACAAAAUUUAUGUCCAUUAUUUUAAGGCCAUGUGUUGGAUAAAAAUCUCUUACAUCAAUCUCCCCAUGUUGGAAAUAACUGGUCUUCAAGUUCAAAUUGUUCUUGUUUUGACCUCAUGAAUGCUCAAUCAAAGCUGUAAAACUCCCUUCCUUUCUUCCGUUAAGGUAUAUAACAAUAUUAGAUAUCAACUUUAGUUCUUUAUUAAUACAUGUUGUAUCUAUAUAACCCCUGAACAAUUCUACCUUUAUGAUAAUAAUAAACUUAUAAUUAAAAGGAUCAACAUAACCUAAAUCAAUAAUUUAUUUUUGCUACUUUGCACUUAAUUUCUAACCUAUCAAUAUGAACACCAUUGAUGACAUUAUUGCUACUUUGCAAUCAUUGUUUAUGCUAUUAUUAUUAUCAAAAGUUUGGCUAGGUGAUCAUAUAUAUAAUUUUAGUUUUCUUUGUUAUUUUUUUUUCAUUUGGAUCAUUUUUGUUUCUGAGUUUUUUAGAACUUGAUUUUGGUUCUUGAGAAAUAAUUAGAGUUGUCAGUGUCACGCAAAAAAAUAAGGAAGGAUUUGAUCUUCCAUGUGUUUGGUCUGACAAAUAUAAGCUAUGUGGCUUUCUAACUUUUUUUUUUUAUGUGUUUCUUGUGCUAUAUUGUUGAUUCCUCUAUUUGUUGCAUGAUCUUAGGAGGUUUUUAAAUAUUGUAAGGAUCUCUUGCUUUCUCAAUUUAUUGUAUUUUGUUGCGCUCUAUUUUUUUUAUUUUUUUGCAUAUAUAUUGUGUUUGAGCAUAGCAUGUGUUGUUAUUUAUUUUUGGACCUCACAUAAACAUACAAAAUACAAAAAAAAAUUAAAAAAAUGAAAAAAAAAUAUACAUCAGUGGGAAGAACAUGAAAAAUAUCUAGAAAAUUGCCACAGACUAGUGGGGGGGAAUCAAAAUAUUCAAAGUUAAAAAAUUGACAGUUCAAUUUUGAAUCAUGAAGGCCAUAUUAACAAGAAAAGUUCAAUCUGAGAAGAAAAAUUCGAAAUUAGAUGUUUAAUAACUCAAUUGGAAAUUUUCAAGGUUUAAUUGUAUUUAUUGAGGGCUUAAUUGCAAUGAAAAUUAGUUUUAAAGUUCAAUUUGGACUUUAAUAGGAAGAAAUUGAAGUUUAGGGGUUGAAUUGUAAUUUUGAAAAGCUAAUUUAGUAAGUUAAAAACAUGACAUGACAUCAUUAAUAUGAUGCGGCAGAUGAAGUGAUGGUGCACCCUUCCUGUUAUAACCCAAUUUUAGCCCAUUGGCUUUUAAAUUUAAUUUUACAAGGUUUAAAAUUUAAAAUUAAAAUAUAAGAGAUUUAUUUCGAUGAAAAGUGUGAUUUGUCAACUUGCAUGAAAACUAGAGACUAUAAUGUGCUUUUGUCAUUCUAUCAUUAUCUUCAAGAUAAUCUCUAUCUUCAAGAUAAUCCUUGUCUUCAAGAUAAAGAUACUUAUCCGCUUCCAAAUUUGAUUCUUAAUCAAAUUCAAACUUCAAAAAAGAGAAUGAGUUUAAUUGAAACUUAAAAGGAGAGAACCCAAAAAAAAAAAAAACCAAGAAUAGAGGGAGGAGAGACUGAAAACAGGAGAAGAAGGAGAGCAUUCUCCUGUCGGUGCCUACACUGCUACCUUCGCCUUCGGUUUCACCAGGUAAAGUCUUCUUCUUCUCUCUGUUUUUGUGUAAUUGUUGCAAGAAAACAGUGCCAAUGUAACUUAAUUACCUUCAUAUUGUGCAGUGCACGCGUGGGUUGAGCCACGCUUGCUUGCUGCCCAGCCAGGUCACUGGCUUGGAGCCAGUGACCAGGCUGGGUUGGCUGGGUCCAGCCCAGCCCAUGUUGGUUGGGCUCAACCCAACCCCAAAAAAAAGAAAAGAGAGUGGGUCGAAUCUGGGCUAUAGGCUCAGCCCACCCAAAUUAUGUUUAUUAAGGGUGUGUUUGGCAAAACACACCCUUAUGUCUUGGUCAUAAUUUUUAUGCUCAUUUCAGUUUGAUAUUUGGCCAAACGAGCCCCUUUUUGAUACCAGAAAAUUUCAAAAAUAUUUGGGGAUCUUUGUUGGUUGAUUUGUGGGCCCCUCGCACUUUGAUUUAUUUUUUUUUCUUUGCAUUUUGUAUUUGUUUUAAGUUAUGUGCUCAAUCUGUGGCCUAUUAUUGUUAAAUGCAAAUAUGUCGUGCAAUGUUUUUUUUUUAUUUCCAUCUAAAAAGGGCAAAUAAUAAUAAAGGAUAAACAAGAAAAAAAAUGACAUAGAAAAUUUCUUCUUCAAAUGCAUUUUUUGCGAAAAUAUUCACUGACGCUAGAGUCAGGAGUAUCGUAUUUUUUGGAUUUGUGCGAUAUUUACCAACACCAGAGUUGUAAAUAUUCGUAGGAAUUGUUCACUGAUACCAGAGUCCGAUGGUGAAACCUGAAAAUAUUUUAAUAUGGUGCAUCCUUAGUUUUCAAUUGAAUCAAGAAACAAACAUCUUGGGUUAUGUAUAGACAAAUUCAAUUCAUUCGGAUCAUUUGAUGCUCCUUGUUGGCCCGUGAUACGUUUUACAAAUUGUCACCAAACAUAUGUAUGAGGCCGAAGUUCAUGUUUUUAUCAACAGUCAUACCUGGUUAUAAUAGUCCGAGUUAAAAUAUAGAUAUUUGUCUUCGGUGGUGGUUGGAAGGAUUUCAAACCUGCAUACAUCUCUGAGGCCAUGUGGACAAAAUAUAUUUAGCAUGUGAUGUCUGAUCAUUUUGUGUGACAAUCACACUCUAGUGCGAAGAACUAGAACUAGUAAGUUAACGAAUCUGUUAUCCACACACCGACAGCUCUAUUCUAUUUGUUUCGCAUGCGAAGCAGAUGAUAAAAUUCUUUUUUUAUUAUAUAUAUUUUUUAUUUGUUGUUUUUUAUAAAUAUAUUUAAUUUACAGUUUUAUCUUGCAGUAUACAGUUUUUGGACACAAACCAAGCCCCAUUGAUGACCGCAAAAAAGUUAAUGGUGCAAUUUCAUAUUUUAGAUUAGCUAGGACACAUUAUGGUUAAUUGAUAAUUCCUAGAAAGUAUUUUAAUUCAUUGCAAGCAUUCGUGCGUUUUGGAUAAGAUAUGGUCAUCAAGCCAGGUGGCACGCAUCGUUUGGCAGAGACCACAGGCGUUGGAAUUUUUGCCUUAUGGUGUUUUUUCUAUUUUAACUUUUCAGUCCAAGUUUUGUAUAGUUGUGAGACCUUUUAGUUAGGGUAAGUGAAAAUAUCAUAAUCUCAAUUAUGAGUCUGAUGAAAAUAAUAUUUAUUUAAUAUUCUAAUAUUUAUUUGAUUUGAUUUUUAUUAGUUAUGUCAACUUAAUGUAUUAUUUAAAACAAUUUUAUACUUUAGUGGCAUUCCACAAUUGAUAUUCAAAAUUUAUUAAAUCAGAUUUUUUUUUUAAUUUCUUAACUACAAUUUUCAAAUAUAAAGAACUUUGAUUUAUUAAUUUCAAAGAUAUUAUUUUUUAAUAUUUAAAUAGUUAUAUAUUAAAAUAUAUUUUUUAAAUAUUAAAAUAAAAAUAUAUUGGAUAGACGUGAAUCAACUCAAGUUAAUUAUUUAAAUUCAUGAUCAAGGUUAUAAGACCGUUAUAAUCUUGUAAAAAUAUAAAACAAAUAAUCAUGUUCAAUCCAAAAGUAAUCUAAUGACGAAGAAUAAAAUUUAAAAUUAAAAUACUCAAUUAAAAAAGAGUUAACAAAAGAUCUAAGUGCACUCGAGUUAAUUUGCUAAAUCCGCGAUCCGGGUUAUUUAUUUAACUAGAUAUAAAAAAUUUAAAAAUAAAAAACAAACAUGUCAUGCGUGUGGGAUUAAAAAAUAAAAGGCAUUUAACUAACAAAGGGUUUUUUUUUUUUUUUAUCUUCAAGGGGGCUGAAAAUGCAUUAAGUUAAAAAAAAAAGCAUUUUUCAAAAAAUUAACAAUCCAUCCAGAGCAUGACCCACCCACGCACCUGAUCUAUAAAAAUAGGAAAUGAAAAUAAAAAUACUCAUUGAAAAAAAUCGUUUUAAAAAAAUAAGAAUGAGCUUGAGUUAACUUUUUAUAGUCGCUAUAAAGGUUAUAUAUUCCACUGAAUUUAAUAAUAUAUUAUUUAUUAUGUUAUUUUUCAUUUACUACACAACAAUUAAGGGCAAGAUUUUUUUUGUAUCAAAUAAAAAUAAAUAAAUAAAUAGAACAGGCGCGUGGGAUAAAACAAUGGCCUAUUUUUUGUAAGUUAAAUAAGAAAAAAUGGUUUUUUAUAAGCUAAUUAAAAAAUAAAUAAAAAAGAGGUCGUAUGUAUUACCUAAGGAAUGACCCCAAAAGCAUACCAAACAAAGUGAGUAUAUCAUGUGUAUAUCUAAGCAAUUCACUUAAUUUAAUUAAAAAAACAAAUUUUUUUUUAUGAAAAGCUAAAUUUAACAAAAAAACGACAAAAAAACAAAACCUGACCUAAGUCAUUUUUAAAAUUAGUAAAAAACCCCUAUAGACAACAAAUAAAAAAAACAAACUUAAUCUUGAAUUAAAUCAAAUAUUAAAGGAUAAAAUUAAAAAACAUGAGCUAAAAAAAAAAAAAUUCAACCAGAGCUAAUCUUCUAAAUCUAGGUUUAAUAAAUAAGUUUAAUUCAAUGUUGAAGGAUCAAAUAAAAAAAACAUCGUAAAUUUUAUUGUCAAAGCAAAAAAAGAAGCAAUAAAAAAAUGAAGGUGGAUGAAAUCGUAAAAAAAAUCAAUUUUAAAAUGAUCUCAAAUAAAACAAAUAGCACUAAAAAAAAUAGGUACCAGUUGAUAGAUUAAAAAAAAUUUAAAGGAGAAUGAAAUUGAAAAUAAAUUUUGAUUUUACAAAAUAAUCAAAUGAAAAAAAAAUCAAUUGAAAGAAUAAGGACCAAAUCAAAAAGAAAAAUAAAUUUAAUGGCUACUAUGAAAUUUUGGAAGGCUAGCAUGGAAAUCAAAUAGAAAAAUAAAGAAAGGAAUAGCCAACCGCGGCCAAACUGAAUGGACUUACAUCACACGUGCCGCCUAGGAAGGCAGGUCGCGUUAUAAUGAAUAAAAAAAAACCAAAGAAAACAAUUUUUGGUAGUUGUAAGCCGCAACACAUAUCACUUGAACACAACUGGGAGGCUUAUUCACUGGCGGCGUGUUCAACGAAUGCAUCAACCAUUUUUGCUUUUAUAUAUAAUAAUAAUAAUAAUAAUAAUAAUAAUAAAAGGAAAAGUAUGAAUUAGCUCUUAAGAGGCAAGGUUAGAAAAUUGUAAUUUCAAAAGCAAUAUAAUCAUUUUAUUGUCCUAUAAAAUAUAUAAAUCGUCCCUAAACCCAAGGAAAAUAGUUUUUUUUUUAAACAUUUAAGUAAUUAUAUUGUAUAAAAAAUUAAAAGCCCAAGAAGCCAAUGAUUAUUUUUAUAAUAAUCAAUUGAGCAUGUGAAAAGACUGCAUUCCUCUAAGAGAUAGGUAAAGUUUUUAGAUUGAGAAGGGCAAAAUAGUAAAUUCAUUACUAUAAUCCAUAAUAAUUCAACACAUAUCUAUAGUAAUUCUUCCAGGUUUAGGUUUUUGUUAAUUCUACAUGGAAAUCAGGAGUUGAUGUCUGAUAUAUUUUUUAGAACAUUAUAUAAUAUUUGAUUUCAAACAUGUUGUAAGCGAAAAUGGAAAAACGGGUAAAAGGGAGAAAAUUGACAUUGAAAUUGUGGGAUCGGAUAAUUGGUCUUUUCAAUGCAUUUUUCAAUUUUUUUAUAUAUAAAAUGCUUAAAAAACUGGAAAGACUGGAAAGAGAGUUUUGCACUUUCUUGGGCCAUGGUCCAGACAUGCUCAAACUUUGGAUAUGAAGACUUUUGGGCUUGAGUUUUAUAUAUAUAUAUAUAUAAUUAAAAAAAAUCAGAGAUUUCCUUGAGUUUAUUAUUCUAGAAAUCAACGCAAAAAAAUAAUUUGUCAAUUAUUGUUUUUUUAUAUAAAUAAAAAAACUGAAAUUAAUAUCUAAAAUUAUUAUAUAAUAAAAAAAAAACAAAGGGGUUAGAGAGUUUUAAUUUUACAUGUAUAGGAUCAAGAUAGGAAUAAUUUGAAAAUGAGACUAAUGAAGGAGAUUUUUUUUUCUAAAACUUUAUAUUAAUAAUAUAACUUUCAAUUUCACGGUUGAAUCAGCUAUAACUAUGUAAAAGAUUUCAAAAGCUUUGUAAAAAGUUCAUACCCGUCAGAGUUGAGAAGAGGACCAAAAAUUGUGACCGUUCUUGUUCCAACUGUGGGUUCGACAUGGCUGAUCAUUAGCAUAUUUGGUUAUUUGUGGCUCAGGAACAGAGGAGAAAAAGGCAAAGACAAAGCAAGCAUCAAAACAGAAGGUAGAUAGAGUAACUAUCCAUAAAAGAAUAGUUGACGAACACCACACCUAUAGCAUUCCAUAUGAUGAUGCUGUUAGGUUUCUUCCUUGACACUAGGCAGAAUGGAUCAGUUGUUUAGAAUCAGGUUGGGAGUCUUAGCAGUGCUGAAGAGCUUCAUCUGUUGUGAUGUACAGCAUAUUUGUUUUCAUUACAAAUCUAAUGAAACUUCAUAUCAGCAAUUAUUCAGACAGUACAGCUUCAGCGACUAGCAAUUUCAGAAAUUGUCACCUCAUUUACAGAACACUGUCCAUCUUCUACCUCUAAUGCUAUAUCAGGAUUAUUGUCAGAUUUUCUAAAGAGGAAUGCAGGUUGUUUUGGGGAAGGAAUCUCUGUUUCGUUACUCAACAUAAAAACAACCGCUAACAUAGAUGGUCUGUCCGCGGCAUCUUCUUGCACGCACAGUAGACCAAUUUGUAUGCAUUUCAAGGCUUCACGCGGAUCAUACAACUCCGCCAGUGAUGGAUCCACUAUCUCCAAUGCUUUGUCUUGUUUCCAUAAUUCCCACACCUGUGGUGUUCAUAUAAAUCAUUAACAUACAAGAAAUAAGAGCAGACAACAUCUAAAAUUGUGAUCAUUGAAAUUCAGCCAACAGCACACAUGGCUCUCCUAUAACUCACAUAUCCAAUCAAGGUCAAAGGAGGAUCCUGUUGAUAAAAUCUAUUGUUCUUCUUGCCACUCACAAUCUCUAGCAACACGACCCCAAAACUGAAAACAUUUGAUUUUACAGAAAAGUUUCCAAGCACAGCAUAUUCUGGUGACAUAUAGCCACUGCAUCAGAAAAACAAGAAUCUGAAGUUUUAGUAUUCCUGGUAAUCAAUGAUAGUACUUUGUCACUCGGUCUUUGUUUUAGGCAAAGGUACUUACAAUGUUCCUACAACUCUCCUGGUCCUAUCUUCUGUUUGGUUGCCUUCAAAUAUUUUUGCCAUUCCGAAAUCUGAUAUUUUUGGGUUCAUCUCUGCAUCCAGUAGAAUGUUGCUGCAUUUUAAAUCCCUGUGAAUGAUUCUCAACCUGGAAUCUUGGUGAAGAUAUAAAAUCCCACGAGCUAUUCCAACAAUAAUAUCAAAGCGAUUUCGCCAAUCCAAUAACAAUCUUCUGCUUUCAUCUGUCGAAACAAUUAUUUUUCAGACAGGUAAAAUUUGACAACUAGAGUAAAUCAGGGCAAUAAAUACUUGAAGAGACUUACGGAAAAGAAACGAGUCCAAGCUUUUGUUUGGCAAGUAUUCAUAGAUUAAGAUUUGUUCUCCAUCCUGAUUGCAGUAACCUAGAAGUUUAACAAGAUUCCUGUGUUGAAGCUUUGCAAUUACCAUAACUUCAUUUUUAAAUUCUUCUGUUCCUUGUCCUGAACUUCUAGAUAACCUUUUUAUUGCAACCUCCAGUCCAUUAGCCAGCAGACCCUAAAAUCAUCUUACAAGAUUAAGCCUCUGGACUACAAUUAUGCAAAUUAGAGAGGCCAUUUAGUUUUUAGCUAAAUGCAAGAAACUCAACCUUAUAAACAGAGCCAAAACCACCUUGCCCGAGUUUGUUAGCAGCAGAGAAAUUGUUAGUGGCCGCCGUUAUGGUGCUGAGCUUGAAAUAUUCCAAUUCAGUAGAAGUGCUGUUUACCUGCAGUUCAUUACCUUUUUUUGCUCUCUUCUUGAGCCACAAAUAAGCAAACAGGCUAAUGAGAAACCACAAUAAUGCAAUUGAUGGUGCUAAAACGGCCAGCAUCGUUUUUUCACGAGAAUUAUUUGACUUCCUUGUAGUGUCAGCUGCAUGAGAGUGAAAAGAAAAAAGAUUAACUCUAUAGGAAAAACCACCCCAUUUUCCCACGGAAAUAUGACAACACAUAUGGCAAAGGGUAGCCCUUUUGGCACCUAAAACGCACCAAUAUCUAUGGUUUCUUUCCUGCAGUAAAGAGCUUAUUAACUACAGUCAAGUGCAGUGACUAGCAUAGGAAAGCUCAUAUAAAUCAAUAUUUGUAAUGACAAUCCUAUGAAGUAGUAACUGAGCAGAAAAAGGGUACCUAAUUCAUAUGCAUCAAUACGAACAUACAGAUCAUGACUUUCACUCAUAUCAUAUCUAAUGUCUACUAAUUCCUUGUACCAAUUCAAACAACCAUCCCCUUUUCCGGGAAUCACAAUGACUGCGUAUGCAGAGCAUGAACAAUUCCUCUUGCAUUCCAGUUCACAGUCUGCACGACUCUUGCUCAUGUCCACCCAAGCUGCAGCUGAAGUGUCCGGAAGAAUUACAUUUUCCACCUUCACAAACCCUUCUCCAUUCUGGCACACCGAAGACGUAUGUAGCCGCUUCCUGACACAACCACCGGACCCAUCUCUCGUAGACCAUUCUAAUGGGUACUUGGGCUCGAACCCAGGUAAACAGGCACAUCCAAAUUCAUUUACAUUGGCGAGUUCACACGUACUAUAAGCACCACAAUUUCCAUAAUAGUGGCAUUGAAACUGAGGGCACUUCCAGUAUUCCUUCCACCGACCAUCACUUUCUCGCCAUGUUAAAGCCUUUGCUACUCCUGAAUGAUCCACUAUUAUUCUUAGCAGAUAAGAAUCAUCAGGAACCGUGUAGAAAGAGUACUUUUCGUCUGGAUCAUUUACAAAAGUGCUUGUGUAUAGGCUCAUCUGAUUUCUCCAUGGCCAAGGGGGAGAUCUACUAAUUGGCUUUUUACCAUUAUAGUGAAAGAAUUGUGGCGAGCCAUUUGGGUUGAUCCUAAUUGAAAAGUCCCCGAACCCAGGGUCUUCAGCUGAUCUCCAUGAUGUUGGGAACCGAUCAAUUCCUAAUUUUCGAUCCAGCCCAAGUUUCAUUCCUGGAAGCAGGGUAUUCGUAGGAUAAUCGAAGCUUUGCCAUACAGUUUUUCUGCUUCUUUUCCUGACCAAUAUCAAAUUUCCUGAAUCCAAGAGUUGAGCUGCACAAGUAUCAUUUUCUUCCACUGAAACAUUUGUAGACCACACUGGAAGCUUUUGGUCAUCGUCACCAUAGAGAACGAGGUUUCCAUAUUGGUUUAUAAAGAGAAAUCCUGAGGAACCAAUGAUUGGAUCGUUCCUGUUUGCAACCCACACCACAGCUUGUUCUGGUAUUUUAUGGUACCAAAUUCCAAGAUAUCUAUUGGUUGAACUGCCAGGACUGAAAAAUCCUAGUGCGAAAAUAUUUCCUUCGGAGAUAAGAAGGUCACCUUCUUUAAUGGUUUGGUUGGUCUUUAAGGAGUCUUGGGAUGUACAAGAUGAGAAUUGGAGCAUUAAAAGAGAAAAAAGCAGGAACAGUUUUUCAGCUUCCAUGAUGGAGUAAACUGGAUCUUGGCUUCUGGAAAAGUGUUAGAUUUUGCCUUCAGAGUAGUCUCCAGAGAAGUUAUGUGACGGAAGUGGCUAUUUUGGGAUCCACUUCGCUUAACGUGGCAUCUCUUUCAACCUUCAGAUUUUUUGGAAACGAUACUGUCCUCUUGUUUUAGAAAUAUGUAGUAGGCUGUAGAAACAACAUAAAAAAAGACAACAAACACAAAGAAAGAUAGAAUUGUGUCGAAAAAUAUAUCAACCAUAAUAAUAAUUAUAAUUCAAACUUUUCGUACUCAAUAUUUUUCUAAUCAAAUUUAAAUAUCAAAGAUCUUCCGGACUAUUAUAUGUUAGGAAAAACACCCUAAACAAAGCUUAAAAAUUAAUAAAAUAUUUCUAAAAUAAAUAGAAAAAAAUCUAAAUCAACUUGAAAAAUAUAACGCUUUUAAAAUAGUAAUUUCUAAUACUAGUUUGGAGGCCUUAAAGAAAUUAAAUGACUCCAUAAAUCAUAUAAUUAAGAUUGUAAAAUUAAAAAAAAAUUAGUAAUGAUACUUUGUUGUUACAAUAUUUGAUGGGUAUGAUUAGUUUUAAAUCCAAAAACUAAACUAUUUAAAUUUUUUUUAUUUGAUCAAGCUAACUUUCAGUUUUUUAUUUAGUUUUUCCAAUUAUAUCAUUCAUUCAUCUAGUUGAAUUGAUUUUGUUUUUCAUAAUAAGGAGUUUUAGAAGGACUAAACUGCAUAAAUGUUAAGGGUGCAAUUUCAUAUUUUAGAUUAGGACACAUUAUGCUUAAUUCCAUAUUCCUGAGAAAGUAUUUUAAUUCAUUGCAGACAUUGGUGCGUUUUGGAUAAGAUAUUGUCAUCUAGCCAGGUGUAGGAAUUUUGCCAUAUGGUGUUUUUUUCUGUUCUAGCUUUUCAGUCCAAGUUUUGUGUGGUUGUGAGACCUUUUACUUAGGGUAAGUGAAAAUAUUAUAAUCUCAAUUAUGAGUCUGAUGAAAAUAAUAUUUAUUUAAUUUUGUUUUUAUUAGUUAUUCAACUUAAUUUGUUUUAUACUUUAGAGGAUUCCAUAAUUGAAAUUCAAAAUUUAUUAAAUCAGAUUUAUUUUAUUGUUUAACUACAAUUUUCAAAUUUAAGAAAAUUUGAUUUUUUAAUUUCCCUAUGCACUGCAUCACUUGAAGUCUUUAGGGUUUAGUUUCAAGUGGCAGUGUGAGAAGAUAAGCUGAUACAAGCAUCAAAACUAACAAAUAUCUAUCGGACAACACUGUUUUUUAAGCACUGAUAUCGUGUUUUUUUAAGGAAAAACAAAAUCAAUCAUUAAUGCUUAAUGUAAUAUUCAAGGCAUGUUGGAAGAUACAGUUUUUUUCUAAAUUAAAAUAGUAAUAUAUUAUAAUUUAUUUUUAAAACAUUAAAAUAAUAACAUAUUAAAUAAAACAAUAUAAACUUAAGUCAAUUAUUAAAAUUUGCUAUCAAGGUUAGAAAAUUACGAAAAUCCCAUAAAAAAUAAAACAAAUAAUUAUAUUCAAUCCAAAAGCAAUCAUAUAAUAAAAAAUAAAAUUCAAAAUGAAAAUACUCAAUUAAAAAAAGUUAAAAAAAUUUAAGCAAUCCUAAGUUAAUUUGUUAAACAUGCGAUCCGGAUUAUCUAUUCCACUAAACUUAAUAAUUUUUUAUAUCUUAAAUUAUUUUACAUUUAAUUACACAACAACAAAAAUUAAAAAUAAAGAACAAACGUGACAUGCAUGCAUGUGAGAUUGAAAAAAAAAGACAUUUAACUAACAAAAGUUAAAGUGCAUUCAUUAAAAAAAAAUUAAAGCAAUUUUCAAAACAUUUACAAUUGUCCAGGAGCAUGACCUAUAUAAAUAGAAAUUAAAAAUAAAAAUAUUUAAUGAAAAAAAAAGUUUUAAAAAGAUAGAAAUAAAACUGAGUUAAAUACCUUUGAUUUGUGUCAUACAUCCUAUUGAAUUUAAUAAUAUAUUAUUUAUUAAGUUAUUUUUCAUUUUGUUACACAAGAAUCAAGGAUACAAGAUUUUUUUGUAUCAAAUAAUAAUAAUAAUAAUAAUAAAAAAAAAAGCAAACAGGACAAGCGUGUGCCAAUGGCCUAUUUUUUAAAGUUAAAUAAGAAAAAAUAGUUUUUUAUAAGCCAAUUAAAAAAGAAAAAAAAAGAGAGGUUGCAUGCAUUACCUAAGUAAUGAUUCCAAAAACAUACCAAAUAAAAUAUCAUUAAGUGAGUAUAUUAUGUUUAUUUCUAAGCAAUUCACUUAAUUUAAUUAAAAAGUUAAAAAAAAAUUAAGAAAAGCUAAAUUUAACAAAGAGUGACAAAAAAAAUCCAAGAUAACCCAAGUCAUUUUUAAAAUCAACAAAAAAAUCUUAUAAAUAGGGAAUAAAAAAAUAAAACUCAAUCUCCAAUUAAAUCAAAUAUUAAAUAAUAAGAUUAAAAAAAGCAAAAAAAAAUUAACCAGAGCAAAUCUUAUAAACCUAGGUUAAUUUCUCAAAUUGAUAACCUAUUAAAUCCUAAAUCUAGACUCAAUAAAGAAGCUCAAUUUAAUGUUAAAGAAUGAGAUAAAAAAACAUCAUAAAAAAAUUUGUAAAAGAAAAAAAAGUAGAAAUAAGAAAAUAGAGGAUAAAAUCGUAAAAAAAAAAUUAAUUUUAAAAAUAAUCUCAAAUAAAAAAAAUAGCAUAAAAAAUGAGUAUCAGAUUUGAUGGAUCUAAUAAAAUUUAAAGAAGAAUGAAAUUAAAAUUAAAUUUUAAUUUUACAAAAUAAUAAAAAAAAAACCAAUUAAAAAAAUAAGAAUCAAAUCAAAAGAAAAAACAAAAUUAAUGGCGAUUGUGAGAUUUUAGAAAGCUAGUGUGGAAAUAAAUAAAAAAAGAAGAAGAAGAAAAGUCAGUUGGGGCCAAACUGAAUGGAUAUAGAUCACACAUGUUGUUUAGGGAGGUGGGUCGCUCUAUGAUGAAUCAAAAAACACUAAAGACUGCACAUACCGCUUAAACACGACGGGAAGACUUACUCACUAGAAUAUUCAACUAAUGCAUCAAUCACUUUUGCUUUUAUAUAUAUAUAUAUUAAAAAACUAAAUUGCCUCAAAGACUACAUCAUAAUAAUAAUAAAAAAAAAAGGAAGGAAAGUACGAAUUAACUCACAGGCAAUGUUAGAGGAUUUUGAUUUCAAGUACACGCUAUAAAAUAUAAAAUAUAAAAAAUACCUCUAAACAUGAGGAACAUCGAUUUUUAUUUUUAUUUUUAAAGGUAUUUAAAUAAUUAUACUAUAUAAAACAAUAAAAAAAACAAGAUUCUCAUGAUUAAUUUUAUAUAAUCAAUUGAGCAUGUGAAAAAGACAGCAUUACUCUUAAAUAUUUGUUCCAUUGUUUUCUGCCGCUUUAAAAUAUUUGUUCCGACUGUCUUGAGGAAAGGCAUUCACUAUCGUUUUCCCAUCAUUGAGUAAUUUUUCAUUACAAAUCUAAUGGAACUUCAUAUUAGCAAUUUUUCAGACAGCACAGCUUCAGCGACAAGCGAAUUCAGUAAUUGUCACCUCAUUUACAGAACACUGUCCAUCUUCUACAUCUAAUGCUAUAUCAGGAAAUUUAUCAGAUUUUCUAAAGAGGAAUGCAGGUUGUUUUGGAGAAGGAAUCUCUGUUUCACUACUCAACAUAAAAACAAUCGCCAACAUAGAUGGUCUGCCCGUGGCAUCUUCUUGCACGCACAGUAAACCGAUUUGUAUGCAUUUCAAGGCUUCACGCGGAUGAUACAACUCCUUCAGUGAUGCAUCCACUAUUAAUCUUAGCAGAUAAGAAUCAUCAGGAACUGUGCAGACACAGUACUUUUCGUCUGGAUCAUUUACAAAAGUGCAUUUGUAUAAGCCCAUCUGACUUCUCCAUGGCCAAGGGCGAGAUCUAAUAAUUGGCUUUGUACCAUUAUAGACAAAGAAUUGUGGCGAGCCAUUUGGGUUGAUCCUAACUGAAAAGUCCCCAAACCCAGGGUCUUCAGCUGAUCUCCAUGAUGUUAGGAACCGAUCAAUUCCUAAUUUUCGAUCCAGCCCCAGUUUCAUCCCAGGAAGCAGGAUGUUAGUAGGAUAAUCGAAGCCUUGCCAUACAAUUUUCCUGCUUCUUUUCCUGACCAAAAUCAAAUUUCCUCAUGAAUCCAAGAGUUGAUCUGCACAAGUAUCAUUUUCUUCCACUGAAACAUUGGUAGACCACACUAGAAGCUUUUGGUCAUCGUUGCCAUAGAGAACGAGGUUUUCUCAAAUAGCUGCGGUCUUGUUUAUGGUUGUAUAUUCCUUCAUUAGCAUUCCUUAAAUAGCCAUAGUCUUGUAUUAUAUAUUGACAUUGUUGUAAUGCAAUACAUAUUGAGUUUUUUACCAAAUUACUUGUGCAAUCCUUUUAUGGUAUCAGAGCAGGACACGGUGUAGCAGUAGACUGAAGAGCAGAAAGCGUAGGGAAAAAUAUUUUCAUCAAAAGUGACAUGAUGAGAGAGAUAAAUCUUACCUGUAAGGCAUGUUGAGUUAGGGAGUACCCGAGAAAGACACAAGGUUGGGAUUUAGAUGGAAAUUUAUUUGCACAAUAGGGAACAAGCCAAGGGUAGCAUUGAAAAUCAAAUGUGCGCAACUUAUGAUAGUCAGGAACCUGUCCAAAUAAUACUUCAAAGGGACUUCGACGUGAGUGUAAGAUAGUGAGGAGGCGAUUAAUAAGAUAAAAUGCCGUGGCCAAAACAUAUGACUAAUAAGUUGAAGGAGCUAAGGCAUGAUGUAAAAGGUUCAUACCCAUUUUGACAUUAUGUUGAUGGUGAUGUUAAACGAUGCCAUUUUGUUGGGGAGUAUGCAGUGCAGUGGUAAAAUGGCUAAUACCACGAGCAGCAAGAAUAGGUAUAAGUUUGAUAAAUUUACCAUCGUUGUUGGAAUAAAUUUUUUUAAUUUUCCCAGAGAAUUAUUUUCAACCAUAGUGGUAAAGUGAACAAAAAUAGAAAACACAUCCGACUUGUUAUGCAUAGGAAAGAACCAGCAGUACUUGGUGAAAUGAUCAACAAAAAGUACAUAAUAGCAUUAGCCAUCAACAGAGGGAACCGAGGAUGGUCCCUAAACAUCGGCAUACAAAUAUUCAAGAGGAUUAUGACUCGUAAGGGAAAUGACACUAAAAGACAAUUUAUGCGACUUAUUGCACUAACACGAAACACAGGACAAUAAAGACUUAGAGGGGGACAUAAGUAAGUUGUAACUACAAAGAAGAGAGGACAAGAGUUUGGAACCAGGGUGACCCAGUCUAUGAUGCCAACAAUCAAAGGAGGCACGAGUUCUAGCCAAGGUGAUGGCAUGGGCUUGAGAUGAGGAAGGACAUAGUUCCACAGGAUAAACACCAUCUUCAUACCUACUGUGCAUGAGCACCACUACCGUUAUCGGAUAUUUCACAAGGUAAAAAAAAGGGUAAAAUUCAAUAACAACAUUAUUAUUAUGAGUAAACUUAUGAACUGAGAUCAAGUUUUUGUUAAUAAGGGGCACAUGCAGGGUUUCUUUUAAAAUAAGAGAGUGGGAAGGGGAGGAAACAGUAGUGGAACCAAUAUUAGCAACAUGCAAACAUAUACCAUCUUCAAGGACCACCUCAUUUUAUCCAUCAUGGUCAGAAUGAAUGGAGAGAUUAGCCAAAUCAGACGUAAAAUUAUGAGAAGCAGCGGAAUAAAGAAGCCAUUUAGCAUUCCAAAGAAGUAGUGUAAUUGGCAAUAGGUAGAGACUGCAAUUUGACAUAAUUCUUUGCAGUGUGACCAGGAUGAUCAUAUAUUUGGCACACAAUAGAGGUCCUCUUUAAAGGAGAUGUUUGGAGAAAUUUUGUUUGAAACGAUUCUUGUUAUUUUUUAACCGAGGAUUCAACCUCCGUUAAGAGGUAUUAGCAGUGACAGCCAGGGUUGAAGAUUUGCCAUCCAUGCGUUUGAGGUAGUGUUCAUGACCAAUUAACAGAUAAUGCAAUUUUGCAAAAGACAAGGUAGUUUCUCUCGGGCGUAUGUAUAGGAGCCACCAUAUCUCGAAACUCAGAGCUAAGGCCAUUAAGCACAUAUAAUAUCAAAUCAUCAUCUGAAAUGGGUGCAUCAAUCAACGAGAGUUCAUCAGCAAUUACCUUGACUGCUUGAAGAAACUCAAAUAUCGUGCGAGAACCCCAUUGAAUAAGGGUAAGAUCUUCUUUCAACUGUAUAAUCCUGGCCUAAGAUUUGCUAGCGAACAAGCGGGUGAGAUGUCAUAGUAAUAAGGGAUACAACUGCUUCAGAAAUAGAAGCAAAAAUAACAUUCAGCAACAACAGGUCCUGUCUAUACCACAUGGAGUGCCGCAGUAGAGGUAGAAGAGUUUGUAUUAGGUUUAGGAGGGCAUCAAAGAGUGUCGUCCAAAUAUUUCAUUAGAUCAUAUCCAAUAAGAACGGUGAGGAAAGUUGCACGCUAGGAAGGAUAAUUUGAGGAUGUGAGUUUGUAGGGCAAUUGGGUGGAAGUGUUGAUAGUAAUGAGAGGGAAUGGAGACACAAAGUUAGAGCCAGCAGGCUCUGAGAGAGGAGUAAGGUUUUCACUAGCCGAUAUGGAGUUAAAGGGCGUUUCUAAUCUGUGAGAGAAGGAUGCUCUGAUACCAUGUCAAAGAACCAUCUCAACCCAAUAGCUUAAACUGUUAGGUGAGGUCCCAAUAUUUGAUUUAUAUUAUUCUCUAACACACCCCCUCAAGUGAAAGCCCUUUGGGCUUGAAACUUGCACAGACCCACAUUACUUUGUGCUUGAUUUUUAUCAAAUAAAUAGGGGUGGUGAGAUUCGAAUUUGUGAUUACUUGGUCAUCAAGGCUCUGAUCUUACCAUCACAUCUCCAUCACUUAAUGCUACAACAAUCGUGACUCUAUCCCCUACACCAGGUAUGGCUUCCUCUUCUCCUACUAGUAAUUCAUCCUGCUCUGCAUCUCCUCUGCCCGGAGCACCUGUACCACCUACUCGCACUCAUCCUAUGGUCACUCUGGCUCAAAAUAGUAUUUUCUGUCCUAAACAGCUUUCAGUUACUACCAAGCACCCUCUUGCCCCACCAUUGGAACCAACUUGUGUCUCUUAGGCUCUCAAGGACCCCCGGUGGCAUAAGGCCAUGACAAAUGAAUUUACUACCUUAGUCUCAUAUUGCACUUGGAAUCUGGUCCCUCGACCCUUUGCUUCCAAUUUAAUUGGUUGUAAAUGGGUGUUUCAGAUUAAACUUCAUCCAAACAGUAUAGUGGAUCGGUUUAAGGCACGUUUUGUAGCUAAGAGGUUCAAUCAGCACCCGAGUUUCGACUAUACUGAGACCUUCAGUCCAGUUAUCAAACCAACCACCAUUUGCCUCAUCCUCUCACUAGCUUUAUCAAAUAACUGGCCUCUCAAGCAACUAGAUGUUAAUAAGCGUUUCUUCAUGGUAAGUUAACUGAGCAAGUGUUUAUGCAUCAACCUGUCGACUUUAUUGAUCAGUCCUAUCCUCAUCAUGUUUGUUUAUCUUCAGAAGUCUAUUUAUGGUCUCAAGCAGACGCCUAGAGCCUGGUACAAUGCAUUACGCUCACACCUUCUUGCAUUGGGUUUUCUUAAUUCGAAGUCUGACAACUCCUUAUUUUCGAUUAGGAUGGCAUUCUACUUUAUGUGUUGGUGUACAUUGAUGAUUUAAUUCCCACAUGCAAUAACAGUACAUUUUUACAGUCAAUCGUCUUGCUUAGUUUAUGCACAAACCAAUGGUAAUGCACUGGCAACAUGUUAAACGGCUCUUGCAUUAUGUCAAACAGACGAUUCAUUUCGGUCUCUUGUUGCGUCGCCAAUCAAACGCAGUGCUUCGGGGGUUCUCUGAAUAAAGUCUUUUCUUGAUGAACUUGGUCUCACGUUACGUGAACUACCACUCCUACUUUGUGAUAAUAUUAGUGCCACCCAGCAUAGUCUCAAUCUUGUUAUGCAAUCCAAGAUGAAAUAUAUCGCUAUUGAUCUUCACUUUAUCUGUGACUUUUUUUAUCGUGGCAAACUGCGUGUUGCCAAUGAAAUUCUGGCAAUAUGCCUUCUAGUCAGCCACUUUUCUCAUUAACAGAAUGCCAAGCAAGGUACUCAAUAAUGACUCACCCUAUUACACUUUUUUUCACAAAAUUCCUGACUACAAAUCUCUUAGAGUGUUUGGUUGCUUGUGUUACCCAUUUAUUCGUCCUUACAACAAUCACAAGUUGCAGUACCGAUCUGUUCAGUGUAUUUUUCUUGGGUAUAACUUCAAUAACAAAGGAUAUUUGUGUCUUGAUUCUUUGACUAGACGAGUAUAUGUCACACCUCAUGUUGUUUUUUAUGAAACACAAUUUCUUUUCACUAAACCUACUUCUCUUUCCCUAACCAAUGAUACUCCAGCAGAGAUCCUCACUCUAGCUAUUUUACCUCUCUCUAAUUCUUUAACUUCUACUAACAACAAUGACUCACCACCAUCUUCUUUCACCUUCACAAGUGACAAUUCACAUUCUUUGAGUAGUUCUACAACCACUCCUGUCUCUCAUUCUUUACCCGAGUCAAUUCAUGAGGAUCAGGCUCCCUGUUCUACUCUAGCUCCACGCAUGACCACAAGAUUGAUGCAUGGUAUAACCAAGAAAAAGACCAUUCUUUAUUUGUCAGCUACGAAGAUCUUAGAACCAUACACUCUCAACCAAGCCCUCAAAGAUCCAAACUGGACUCAAGCUAUAGAUUUAGAGAUAGCUGCUCUUCAUGGAAACCACACUUGAGAUCUUGUUGAACAUCCUUCUGAUGUUAAUAUAAUCGGUUGUAAGUGGGUGCACAAGUUGAAGCACAUGUCAGAUGGGAGCAUCGACAGGUAUAAAGCCAGGCAUGUGGCUAAAGGGUAUCAUUAAACUCUUGGUCUUGAUUAUUUUGAGACUCUUAGUCCGGUUGUUAAGGCUGCAACCAUCCGAAUCAUAUUAACUAUUGCACUCAGUGUUAAGUGGGAAAUUCAACAGUUUGAUGUUCAUAGCGCCUUCCUAAAUGGUGAGUUAAAGGAGCAAGUUUAUAUGUAUCAACCUCCUAGCUACGAGGACCCUAAAUUUCUAACCAAAGUGUGUAGAUUGAAGAAGGCUCUAUAUGAUUUGAAACAAGCUCCACCAGCUUGGUUUCAAAGGCUCAGCUCUACUCUUUUACAAUGAGGAUUCAACAACUCUAGGACAAACAAUUCAAUGUUUCUUCAUUUUGGUGAAUCCACAACAUUGCUAGUUCUUAUAUAUGUGGAUGAUAUACUUAUCACCGGCAGCUCACCCACACAGAUUUCUUCACUCAUUACUAAACUUGAUUCUGUCUUUGCAUUACGAGACUUGGGGCGGCUCUUUUAUUUUCUAGGUAUGGAGGUCUCUUACAAUGAAGGCUCUAUGCAUUUAAGCCAGACAAAAUAUACCUUUGAUCUACUGCAUAGGACAACAAUGUUUGAUACCAAACCUGCCAAAACCCCUGGUGCUGUUGGACAAAAUUUAUCCAGGAUUGAUGGUGAUCCUAUGGAAGAGGUCACUCAAUAUCGUAGUAUAGUAGGGGCACUUCAGUAUCUUACAAUCACAAGGCCUUACAUCACUUUUGCUAUUAAUAAGGCAUGCCAAUUCAUGCAACAGCCAACCACAGCUCACUAGAUUUCUGUCAAAAGGAUUCUUCGGUAUCUAAGAGACACUUUGCAUGAUGGGUUAUUGUUAAGUCCUUCAAGCCAUUUGAUAGUAGAAGGUUUCACGGAUGCAGACUGGGGUGCUCAACCUGAUGAUUGGCGAAGUGCAAGUGGGUAUCUGGUUUAUCUAGGGGAUAACUUAGUCUCUUGGUCCUCUACUAAACAAAAAGUAGUGUCUCGCAGCAAUGCAGAAUCUGCAUAUCGAGGCCUUAUCUUAGCUAUUGCUGAAAUUGUUUAGAUGCAGGCUUUGCUGCAAGAACUAUGUGUCUCUGCCCCUACCAUUCCUCUCCUCUAGUAUGAUAUUAUUAUUGUUAUCAUAUGGUGAAGAAUCCUAUAUUACAUGCUCGAACAAAGCAUAUAGAAAUCAAUCUUCACUUCAUCUGUGACCAAGUUUUUUUGGGAAGUUACAGCUGCAAUUUGUUCCUACUGAAAAGCAGCCAACAGAUCUAUUGACUAAGCAUCUCCCAAGUUCAAGGUUCUCGCUCCUCAGGUCACAGUUGUGCAUCGUUCCCAGACCCUUUCACUUAAGUGGGAUGAUAAACCAAAGCUAGAAUCUGUUUACAGUUGGUUACAUAACAGUGUUACUGUUUGUUAUAACUGCUAGAAUCUGUUUACAGUUGGUUUACGGUUAUGCCAGCUGUCAUGACAGUUUGCUUCUUCUUCUUCUUGUAAAACAACUGUAUAUAUAUGGUUUAAUCUCUGACCUUAGUGAUAAGGAAAAUCAGAGAUUCAUAUUCUCAAAUUCUAUCUGUUUGGUUGGUCUUUAAGGAGUCUUGGGAUGUACAAGAUGAGAAAUGGAGCUUUAUAAGAGAAAAAAGCAGGAACAGUUUUCCAGUUUCCACGACGGAGUAAACUGAUUAUUUAAGAUGAUAGUUUUCAAUUAAGAAAGAAUAUUAAUUUGGUGUUGAUCGAUAUUGAUGUUGACACUUUUGUUAUACUUAAAAUUAGAAUCAAUAUUCACAACAUAUAUUUAGCAGAGUAAUUGGCCAUAUUGUGAUUCAAAGAUAUUGUGAAUAUCACAAUACAUGACUUUAUUCUUAGUUUAUUGUGCAUGUUAUGAGAUAAAUUGAAAUUGAUUUGUCCUCCAAAAUCAUAAAUCAUAUAAUUGAGAUAUUAGUAAUGGUACUUUGUUGUUACUAAUCUUAAAAAGGGAAAGAAUUGAUACAUGUGCUAUGGCGGACGUGAUAAGUUUUAAAUCCAUAAAACAACCAUAAUUUUUUUUUUUUGUAUUUAAUUUUUUCAAUCAUUAUUCAUCUAGUUGAAUUGAUUUUUUUUAAUUAAGGAUUUGUACAAGGUGUAAAUUACAUAAAUGUUAAGGGUGUAAUUUCAUAUUUUAGAUUAGGACACAUUAUGCUUAAUUUCAUAUUAUGCAUCAAAACUAACCGACAAAACUGUUUUUUAAGUAUUGAUAUUGUGUUUUUCAAAGGAAAAAAUCAAUCAUUAAUAUAAUAUUCGAGACAUAUUAAAAGAUAAUAUUUUUUAAUAUUCAAAUAGUAAUAUAUUAAAAUUUAUUUUUUAAAUAUUAAAAUAACAAUAUAUUGAAUAGAUGUCAAUUAACACGAAUCAAUUAUUUAAAUUGUUAUAAGACCACAACAACCUUAUAAAAAAAUUAAACAAAUAAUUAUGUUCAAUCAAAAAACAAUUCAAUAAUGAAAAAUAAAAUUUAAAAUUAAAAUACUUAAUUAAAAAGAGUUAAAAAAAAUCCAAAAAAACCCGAAUCAAUUUGUAUUUCACUAGAUUUAAUAACUUUUUUUUCUCUUAAAUUAUUUUGUAUUUAAUUAUACAAUAAAAAAAAUCUAAAAAUAAAGAAAAAACAUGACAUGCAUGUGGAAUUAAAAGAAAAAAGGCAUUUAACUAACAAUCUAGUCAUUCAUUCCACUGAAUUUAAUAAAAUAUUUUUCAUUUUGUUACACAACAAUCAAGGAUGCUUUUCUGUAUCAAAUGAAAAAAAAAAAAAUAAGAACAGCCGCAUGGGACAAAACAAUGGCCUAUUUUUUUAUGUUAAAUAAGAAAAAAUAGUUUUCUAUAAGCUAAUUAAAAAUAAAAAAUAAAAAGAGGUUGUAUACAUUGAACUCAUACCAAAUAAAAUAUCAUAAAGUGAAUAUAUUAUAUUUAUAUCUAAGCAAUUCACUUGAUCUAACUAAAAAAACAAAAUUUUUUGUUCUAAGAAAAACUAAAUUUAACAAAGAAAAAUUAAAAAAAAAACCCGAGAGCUUCAAAAAAAAAAAAAAACAAAUCUUCAAAAUUUAGAUUAAUUUCUUAAAUUUAUAACUUAUUAAAUCCUAGAUUUAGACUCAAUAAAAAAUUUUAAUUCAAUAUUAAAAAAUAAAAUAAAAUAAAACAUCUUAAAAAAAAAUUAUCAAAGCAAUAAAAGUAACAAUAAAAAAAUACUGACCGUUCUUGAUCCAACUGUGGGUUCAACAUGGCUGAUCAUUAGCAUAUUUGGUUAUUUGUGGCUCAGGAACAGAGGAGAAAAAGGCAAAGACAAAGCAAGCAUCAAAACAGAAGGUAGAUAGAGUAACUAUCCAUAAAAGAAUAGUUGACGAACACCACACCUAUAGCAUAACAUACGAUGAUGCUGUUAGGUUUCUUCCUUGACACUAGGCAGAAAGGAUCAGUUGUUUAGAAUCAGGUUGGGAAUUUUAGCAGUGGGUACAUCGAGUGGAGAAAAGCUUGAUCUGUAGACUGUCUUGAGGAAAGGCAUUGACUAGCGUUUUCCCAUAAUUGAAAUUGCUACUAAUUAAGAUACUUGGAUGGAAAACGAGCCUUGAAAACAACAAAUCUUAGCCCUCCAAACAACCAUUAUAAAUAUUAUAUAAAUAAAAUAUUAAAAGAAAAGGACUACUUAUUUGAAAGCUAGUACAGUUCUAAAUUCUUCUGUUCCUUGUCCUGAACUUCUAGAUAACCUUUUUAUUGCAACCUCCAUUCCAUUAGGUAGCAGACCCUAAAAUCAUGUUACAAGAUUAAGCCUCUGAAUUACAAUUAUGCAAAUUAGAGAAAAACAAAUCUGUAGUAUUGAGAAGCCAUUUAGUUUUUAGCUAAAUGCAAGAAACUCAACCUUAUAAACAGAGCCAAAACCACCUUGCCCGAGUUUGUUAGAUGGAGCGAAAUCGUUAGUGGCCGCCGUUAUGGUGCUGAGCUUGAAAUAUUCGAAUUCAGUUGAAGUGCUGUUUACCUGCAGUUCAGUACCUUUUUUUGCUCUCUUCUUGAGCCGCAAAUAAGCAGUUAGGCUAAUGAGAAACCACAAUAAUGCAAUUGAUGGUGCUAAAAGGCCAUCAUCGGUUUUUCACGAGAAUCAUUCGACUUCCUUGUAGUGUCAGCUGCAUGAGAGUGAAAAGAAUAAAUAUUAACUCUAUAGGAAAAACCACCCCAUUUUCCAAUGGAAAUAUGGCAAAGGGUAGCCCUUUUGGCACCUAAAACGUACCAAUAUCUAUGGUUUCUUUCCUGCAGUAAAGAGCUUAUUAACUACAGUCCAGAGGAGUGAGAAGCAUAGGAAAGCUCUUAUAAAUCAAUAUUUGUAAUGACAAUCCUAUGAAGUAGUUACUGAGCAGAAAAAGGGUACCUAAUUCAUAUGCAUCAACACGAACAUACAGAUCAUGACUUUCACUCCUAACAUAAUUAAUGUCUACUAAUUCCUUGUACCAUGUCAAACAACCAUAAUUUUUUCCGGGAAUUGCAAUGAUUGCGUAUGCAGAACAUGAGCAAUUCCUCUUGCAUUGCACUUCGCAGUCUGCAAGACUCUUGCUCAUAUCCACCCAAACUGCAGCUGAACUUUCCGGAAGAAUUACAUUUUCCACCUUCACAAACCCUUCACCAUGCUGGCACACCGAAGACGUAUGUAGCCGCUUCCUGACACAACAACCGGACCCAUCUCUCGCAGACCAUUCCAAUGGGUACUUGGGCUCGAACCCAGGUAGACAGGCACAUCCAAAUUCAUUUAGAUUGGCGAGUUCACACGUACUAUAAGCACCACAAUUUCCAUAAUAGUCGCAGUGAAACUGAGGGGACUUCCAGUAUUCCUUCCACUGACCAUCACUUUCUCGCCAUGUUAAAGUCUUUACAUGUCCUGGAUGAUCCACUAUUAAUCUUAGCAGAUAAGAAUCAUCAGGAACUGUGAAGACCCAGUAUAUUUCAUCUGGAUCAUUUACAAAAGUGCUGUUGAAUAAGCCCAUUUGACUUCUCCAUGGCCAAGGAGGAGAUCUACUAAUUGGCUUUGUACCAUUAUAGAAAAAGAUUUGCGGUGAGCCAUUUGGGUUGAUCCUAAGUGAAAAGUCCCCGAACCCAGGGUCAUCAGCUGAUCUCCAUGAUUUUAGGAACCGAUCACUUCCUAAUUUUCGAUCCAGCCCCAGUUUCAUUCCAGGAAGCAGGAUGUUCGUAGGAUAAUCGAAGCUUUGCCAUACAGUUUUUCUGCUUCUUUUCCUGACCAAUAUCAAAUUUCCUGAAUCCAAGAGUUGAGCUGCACAAGUAUCAUUUUCUUCCACUGAAACAUUUGUAGACCACACAGGAAGCUUUUGGUCAUCUUUCCCAUGGAGAACGAGGUUUCCAUAUUGGUCUAUAAAGAGAAAUCCAGAGGAACCAAUGAUUGGAUCGUUCCUGUUCGCAACCCACACCACAGUUUGUUCUGGUACUUUAUGGUACCAAAUUCCAAGAUAUCUAUUGCUAGAACUCCCUAGACCGAAAAAUCCCAGUGCGAAAUUAUUUCCUUUGGAGAUAAGAAGGUCACCUUCUUUAAUGGUUUGGUUCGUCUUUAAGGAGUCGUGGGAUGUACAAGAUGAGAAUUGGAGCAUUAAAAGAGAAAAAAGCAGGAACAGUUUUUCAGCUUCCAUUAUUGGGAAAUUGGAUCUUGGCUUUUGUACAAUUUGAAUGUUGCGUUGUGGAGAAAGGAGAAGGUCUUCAGACAAGUGUGGGACCAUUAGAGAAAUUACGUGAAAAAAGUGGUUAUUGUGGGAUUUUUGUUUUAUGGGUUGGCUGUUCGGAAAUGAAUAAUAAUUAUUUUCUAAAAUAUUUUUUUAUUAAAAAUAUAUUAAAAUUAUUUUUAAUAUUAUUAUAUCAAAAUAUUUUAAAAAUAUAAAAAAUUAUUUUUAAACAAUUAUUUUUUAAAUUUUUUACAAAUCUCAAUUUAUACAUCAUUCCCAAAUGAGUUCAUCUUAUCCAUUGUAUACUUGUAGGUUACUCAAUUUUUUUUUUAUUUUAAGUUUGAUUUUAAUUUAUAAUAAACUAGGUUGAUAAUAUAUUAUAUUAUGGUUAUAUCUAAGAUUUUGGAUGAUUAUUUAAGACGUGAGUUCUCUAAUAUAUAUACCUCAAAUUUACUUUGUUUAUUUAGCUUUUUCAAUCAUCAUUCAUCUAGUUGAAUUGAUUUUUUUUUUCAAAAUAAGGAGUUUUACAAGGACACAUUAUGCUUAAUUCCAUAUUCCUGAGAAAGUAUUUUAAUUCAUUGCAAAAAAGUUAAGGGUGCAAUUUCAUAUUUUAGAUUAGCUAGGACACAUUAUGCUUAAUUGAUAAUUCCUAGAAAGUAUUUUAAUUCAUUGCAAGCAUUCGUGCGUUUUGGAUAAGAUAUGGUCAUCUAGCCAGGUGGCACGCAUCGUUUGGCAGAGACCACAGGGGAAUGAAUUUUUGCCUUGAGGUGUUUUUUCUAUUCUAGCUUAAUUUUCAGUCCAAGUUUUGUAUAGUUGUGAGACCUCUUACUUAGGGUAAGUGAAAAUAUCAUAAUCCCAAUUAUGAGUCUGAUGAAAAUAAUAUUUAUUUAAUAUUCUAAUAUUUAUUUGAUUUGAUUUUUAUUAGUUAUGUCAACUUAAUUUAUUAUUUAAACAAUUUUAUACUUUAGUGGCAUUCCAUAAUUGAUAUUUAAAAUUUAUUAAAUCAGAAUUAUUUUUAUUGUUUAACUACAAUUUUCAAAUUUAAGAAACUUUGAUUUAUUAAUUUCCCCAUGCACUGCAUCGCUUGAACUUUAGUCUUUAGGGUUUUCUUUCAAGUGGGCAGCAUGAGAAGAUACGCAUGAUACAAGCAUCAAAACUAACAAAUAUCCAUAGUUUUGAAACCCGGCCCGGCUCGGCGGGUCGACCCGGGUCUGUAGCCGGGCCGGGUCUAAGCAAAAACAUAGGCUGGGAAUUGACCCGGUGAGAUCUGGUCGACCCGGGACCCAGCCAGCCCGGGCAAACCUGGCUAAGACCUUGGUUUAUUAUAUAUAUAUAUAUAUAUAUAUAUAUAUAUAUAUAUAUUCAUGACCGAAACGACGUCAUUUUGACCUUUUACAAUUAAAAGACCAAAAUGAGAAGAGUAGAGGAACGAACGCAGUGCAGAAGACCUAAUUAAUUUCAAACCUAAUUUAAGAAAUCUUCAAACCCAUUUCAGUUGCGAAGAAAAGCAGAGGAGCAGAAGACUCUUGUAUCCUUGAUCGCUGUUUCAAAUCUGAGAAUAAGGUUAGAUGAGCUGUUGUUACUUGUUUUUUUCUUCUUUCGCUCUCUCUUUUCUAUAACAGUGGCAUAUCCUCUAUUUCAAAUUGAAACAUCUUUAAUCGCCCUUUGUUUUGAACUUGCAGGCUUGCAACUCCACAUAUAUGUAUCGCAUUUUCUCUGUUCUUUUAUUUUUAUUUUUCUGUGACUUCAAAUGAUCAAAUACCUGAACUUUAAUGUGAAUAUUGCUCAAACAUGGAAAAAAUGUGAUGAGAAAGCGCUUGACUUGCUAUUUUAUUUUACUGUGAAUUUUGUUUCACUAUUUGUUUGUUCUGCUUUUGCUUCUAUUCUACAGAUUAGUUGUUUUUGCUUCUGCUCGAGUGAUUGAAUUUUAUAUUCCUGUUUGUUCGUUCUGCUUUUGCUUCUGCAAAUUCCAAGGGCCUAAUCUUUCUUCUACAUGGGUUCAUGGUACUGGGUAGUGCUGGCAGGCUUAUUUGAUACGAGUCGAUUCUAGUACGAACUCAAAACUCGAGAGAGUAAAAAAAAAUGUACCAAUUUUUUCAGAUGAUGAUAUUAAUUUAUCACCUUUUUUCCCACAAUUUCUCCUUUAGUUUUUACCUGGAUUGGGCCCAAGGCAUUUCACAAAUCUGGAGAAGACAGGUGGAGAAUAUAAAAAUUAUCAGAGAAUUGAGCCACACCCCAACAAUGAUGAACAUGCAAGAUUCAAAGUUAUACAACCGUAUCAACCUUAUAAAAAAUUUAAAACAAAUAAUUAUGUUUAAUCUAAAAACAAUUCAACAAUGAAUAAUAAAAUUAAAAAUUAAAAAAUAAAAAAUAAUAAUAAAAAAAAAAUUCAAAUGAACCCAAGUCAAUUUAUUAAAUCCGCGAUCCGAGUUAUCUAUUCCACACUUAACAAUUUUUUUUUUCUCUUAAAUUAUUUUGCAUUUAAUUACACAACAAAAAAUCUAAAAAUAAAGAACAAACAUGACAUGCGUGUGGGAUUUAAAAAAAAAGCAUUUAACUAACAAAGGUUUUUUUAUUUUUUUAAUCUUCAGGGGAGCUGAAAAUGCAUUAAGUAAAAAAAAAUAGCAUUUUUCAAAAAAAUUAACAAUCCAUCCAAGGGCAUACAUCCCACUGAAUUUAAUACCAUAUUAUUUAUUAAGAUAUUUUUCAUUUUGUUAUACAUCAAUCAAGGAUGCAAGAUGUUUUUUUGUAUUAAAAAAACAAAAAAAAAACCAAAAAGAGGUCGAAUGCAUUAUCUAUGCAAUGACCACAAAAACAUACCAAAUAAAAUAUCAUGAAAUGAGCACAUUAUAUUUAUAUAUAAGCAAUUCACUUAAUUUAACUAGAAAAACAAAACUUUUUUUUUUUUAAGAAAAGCUAAAUUUAACAAAGAGCGACAAAAAAAGGACUCGAGAAAACCUAAGUCAUUUUUAAAAUCAGUAACAAAACCCUAUAGACAGUAAAUAAAAAAACAAAACUUAAUAUCUAAUUAAAUUAAAUGUUGAAGGAUGAAAUUAAAAAAAUAUGAGCUUAAAAAAAGAGCAAAAAAUGAAUCAAAGCAAAUAUUUUAAAUCUAAGUUAAUCUCCUAAAUUCAUAACCUAUUAAAUCUUAGAUUUAGACACAAUAAAAAAGCUCAAUUUAAUGUUGAAGGGUAAAAUAAAAUAAAAAACAUCAUAAUUUUUUUUUUCAAAGCAAAGAAAGUAGCAAUAAAAAAAUGAAGGUGGAUGAAAUCGUUAAAAAAAUAAAUUUUAAAAAUGAUCUCAAAUAAAACAAAUAGCAGUUAAAAGAAUGGAUACUAAAUUUGAUAGAUUAAGAAAAUUUAAAGGAUAAUAAAAUUGAAAAUAAUCAAAUGAUAGAAUAAGAAUUAAAUCGGAAGUAAAAAAAAUUAAUGGCUACUGUGAAUUUUUGAAAAGCUAGCGUGGAAAUUGAGGAGGGAAGAUAAAAAAAGAAAGAAAAAAGCCAAUCGGGGCUAAACUAAAUGGUAGUACGAAUUAACGAGGUAGGCUGCACUAUGAUGAAUCGAAAAACACUGAAGAAAGCUAUUUUUGGUAGUUGUAAGUCGUUGCACAUAUUGUUUAAACACAACAGGGAGGCUUAUUCACGGGCAUGUUCAACGAAUGCAUCAACUAUUUUUUUUUUCUUUAUAUUUAUUAAAAGACUAAAUUAAUCAAAUAACAACAACAACACCAAACAAAAGGAAAGUACGAAUUAACUCUUAGAGGCAAAGUUAGAAAAUUUUGAUUUCAAUGACAAUAUAAUUAUUUUACCGUGCUAUAAAAUAUAAAAUAUAAAAUAUAAAAAAUGAAACAUAGUUUUUUAAAAGCAUUUAAGUAAUUAUACUAUAUAAAAAAUAAAAAGACCAAGAAGCCCAUGAUUAAUUUUACAAUGACUAAUAGAGCAUGCAAAAAGACUUCAUUACCCCUAAGGGAUAGACAAAGUUUUUCUGUCGAGAGGGAAAAAAACACUAAAUUCACUACUAUAAUCCAUUAUAAUUCAACACAUAUCUAUAGUAAUUUUUCCAUGGGGUUUAGGUUUUUGUUAAUUCUACAUUGAAAUCAGGAAUUGAUGUAUUUAUAAUAAUCAUUUAACUGGCUUGGUGUGUGUGUGUGUGUGUAUAUAUAUAUAUAUAUAUAUAACAUUAUGAUAUUUGAUUUCAAACAUGUUGUAAGUGAAAAUGGAAAAACGGGUAAAAGGGAGAAAAUUGACAUUGAAAUUGUGGGAUCGGAUAAUUGGUCUUUUUCAAUGCAUUUUUCAAUUUUUUUAUAUAACUUGCUUUAAUAACUGGAAAGACUGGAAAAAGAGUUUUGCAUUUUCUUGCUUUAAUAAUUGGUCUUUUCCAGACAUGCUCAAAUUUUGGAUAUGAAGACUUUUGGGCUUUCCUUGAGUUUAUAUAUAUAUAUAUAUAUAUAUAUAUAUAUGUGUGUGUGUGUGUGUGUGUGUGUGUGUGUGUGUGUGUGUGUGUAUAUAAUUGCAAAAAAAAAAAAAAAGAGUAGAGAUUUCCUUGAGUUUAUUAUUCUAGAAAUAGAAAUCAAUGCAAAAAAUAAAUUUUCAAUUAUUGUUUUUUUAUAUAAAUUUUAAGAUGAAAAAAUUAAAAUUGAUAUAUAAAAUUAUUAUAAAUUUAAAAUGAAAAAAGCAAAUGGGUUGAAGAGUUUUAAUUUUACAUGCACAAGAUCAAGAUAAAAAUAAUUUGAACUCGAUGACGGAUUUUUUCUAACAAAAAAAAAUUAAUGAAGGAGAUUUUUUUUUUAAAUAUACAACAUUAUAUUAAUGAGCAUAAUUUUUGAUUUCACAGUUGGAUGAGGCUAUAAAUUUAACCUAAAAUAAAGUUGUAUUAAAAAAAAAAAUAGUCUACUACUUCAAUAAAAUAGCUUGAAAGAAAACACAAUUGGGACCAGUGGUUUUUCAAAAACACCAGCAUUUCCUUUCCAGUGGUACCUGUGCUAGUUUUUCAAUUUUAUUUAAAGGUACUAAGUUUAAAAAAAAAUCAGAAAAAAACACUGCAACAUAGUUCAAGAAAAAGAAAAAAAGGGAUCUGAACCAAAAAUUUAUUUAAACCUAACACACAAGAACAUAGCAACCAAUUGGUUUUAUGUUGACUGGCACGGUUUGAUCAAAGAAUUCUAGUCUUUACCAAAUUUAGUUAUGUAGAACUUUUUCCCAUAAUAAAUAUAAAGAGACUUAAUAUCAAGCCUCAAACCCACAGGUCAUGAAAUUAUUCUAUGUGCAUGCAAGAAAUCUUCACUACAAAAAUAGAAAUUAUAUUCAAAAUAAUACUCAGUUAAAUAAAAUACAUUGAAUCAUAAGUUAAUUAAGUCUAAUAUAAAUCUAACUUCAAAAAAAAAAAAGUACUUUAAAUAUAAAAUAAUAAACUAAUCUAAUUAUUUAAAUAUUAAAAUUUAGAAAUUAACUAUAAACUUUCAAAACAACUAUAUGAAAUUCUUAACAUUUACCAAAAUUAAAUAAGAGGUGAGUGUCACACACUAGAUAACAAUUCAUCUACUUAGAUGGACCAAACUUACAAAUUAGCGCAACCUCUUUCAUACAUUUUAUUGGGUUGUUCGAAGCUCCAGUCUAUUUCAGACUCGAUUACUUUUAACUCCAGGAGUGCCUUACCAUACCAUUAUAUCUUGAAUGGUCACUUACUGGGGAGGUUCUCCAUUGACUCGGCGUGAGAGGUUUUUAAAGAUUAUAGACCCAUAAACUCUAUGCACCAUCUUCUCUGGUUUCUAGGUUUCAUUUUGACACACUCUUUUAUCUUAUGGCUUGCCUCUAUAGGUUGACUUAACACCAUGGAUAAACUAUAUGUUUUUCAGAUCAUUACCUUUUUGGUAUGUAUCAUUUGUAGGUCGCAGGUUGAAACACAUGAAAAUUUUUUCUUUCACUGCUAUAAUUUAGGGUGCUAUCACGAGCAUGACCCUUAUGGUUUGACCGUUUUUGACAUGGUGUCAUCUACUUUAGUGGGCAUACAAGCACUUGAAAAAGAAGGAAUUUAUGUAUCUACUUGCUUGGUUAACCCUCUUAGCAUCAGUUUACUUCAUCUAGUAUAAGAGAAAUAACCGAGUCUUUUAUUAGAUUUACCGAUCUCAUCAGGAUGUUUGCGAAAACACUUUUUAUUUGGUCUAGUCCUAUUUGGUAGAGCUCGAACCAAGGUUUCACAUCCCAACAAAUUUCAAGUCCAUUUGGUAUCUCCGAGAAUCAUGAGAUAUCAUUGCUCUUGCUGAUCUCAAGAUUCUGUUUAGCACAAGUUCAUAUGUAAUCAACUGGUCGACUGGUUAAGUAAUUUCAGAAACUAGUUAACCGACUCAUUUGUUGUUUGUCUUCACAAUCUACUUUUGUAUGUUUUUCAGUUUCUUUUUUAACUUUGGCUUCUUUUCCUUUUUAAUUUUGGUUAGAUGAACAAGAGUAACAAGUUUUUAUACUUCUUGGGGUGUACCCUUAUAGUUUCUUCCUUUUAAUACAAUUACUCUUAUCCAAAAAAAAAAAUUUCAAAUGGAGAAUUAAUGGACACGAGAAUGCAAGGAAUGGAGGAGAUCAAAUGGCUCUCAUGAAAAGGAAUUGUGACCGUUCUUGUUCCAACUGUGGGUUCAUCAUUGCUGCUCAUUAGCAUUUUUGUGGCUCAGGAACAAAGGAGAAAAAGGUAAGACAGAGCAAGCAUCAUAACAGAGGAGAAAAAGGAACAGAGGAUUUUUUUUAAAUUAGUAGUAAUUAAAAUUUUUUAAUAAAAUAAUAUUAUUUAAUUUUUCAAUAAAAUAGUGUAUUAUUUUACCUUCUUGUGUUUUAAAAACACAAUAUAUACUAAAUUUCUCUGUUUCCAAUCACGAAGCGCGAUAAUUUAAUAUGAAAUAGUAAAUAAACUUGCCUCUAAAUACUGCUUUAUCUGCAUUUGUUUCUUCUUUAUCAGUUGUUUCCGGUACCUCUUUAGAUGGAGGCUCAACAUUAUCAUCCUUCUCUUGCUCAUUCUCGACACGCUGCUCUUCGGCUUCUUCCCUUGCACGUUCAUUUGACUUUUCUCCUUUGAAACCAUUUUCGCUGGCUAUAAUUACCAGCAAAGACAACCCAUCAUAGCUCACCCCAAUCUCAAAUGGUUCUCUUGAAAAGGAAUUGCUGACCGUUCUUGUUCCAACAGUGGGUUCAGCAUGGCUGAUCAUUAGCAUAUUUGGUUAUUUGUGGCUCAGGAACAGAGGAGAAAAAGGCAAAGACAAAGCAAGCAUCAAAACAGAAGGUAGAUAGAGUAACUAUCCAUAAAAGAAUAGUUGACGAACACCACACCUAUAGCAUAACAUAUGAUGAUGCUGUUAGGUUUUUUCCUUGACACUAGGCAGAAUGGAUCAGUUGUUUAGAAUCAGGUUGGGAGUUUUAGCAGGGGGUACGUCUAGUGCUGAAGAGCUUGAUCUGCUGUGAUGUACAACAUAUUUGUUUUCAUUACAAAUCUAAUGGAACUUCAUAUUAGUAAUUAUUCAGACAGCACAGCUUCAGCGACAGGCAAUUUCAGUAAUUGUGACCUCAUUUAGAGAACACUGUCCAUCUUCUACGUCUAAUGCUAUAUCAGGAUUAUUGUCAGAUUUUCUAAAGAGGAAUGCAGGUUGUUUGGAAGAAGGAAUCUCUGUUUUGUUACUCAACAUAAAAACAACGUGUUAGUAACAAGUCCUAGAAAUAAUGACAUCAAUUUUAUCUAAUGCCACCUCACCUUCCACCAUUUUUAUGUUAGUAACAAGUUCUAGAAAUAAUGUCCAAAUAUCCCACCAAGCAAGACAUGUAUUUCAAGUUCUCUCUGAGUAUUUGUCGUCUUUUUUUGUUGUUAACAAUGGUUAGUGUAAAACACAGUAUUUCUCUCUAUAUAAGUAUUUCUAUCUCUUAUUUUACUCAUUUGAUUUCUCAUCAUCUACCUCUGUCUUCCCAUGGUUUCGAUCCUCCGAUCAUGCCUUCCCGGCCUAAAAUACAGUAUAAGGCUUCCCCGUACCCAAGAUCCUUUAAUGUUGGUGUUAGUCUGCUAAGAUUGAAAAUUUAAGAUUUGGGGAGCGAGGAAAGGGGAGACUGGGGAGUGAGGACUAUGUAGUGGAGUGUUAGGGGACUUGGACAGGGAGGCAGUAAAUUUUUUAACUUUUGCGAGUUAAAACUCGAAAUCAAUCAAACUCGGUCAAACUCGUAAAAUCGAUCUAAUUUUACCGAUUUUAACUGAGUUUGACCGAGUUUGAUCGAUUUCGAGUUUUAACCUGAUUUGACACGUUAUAUACAUGUUGACUCGUAAAAUCGUAAGAUUUUAAGAGUCAACUCGCGAUUUUGACAAUAGUCAUAAGCAUGAUACAAGCAUCAAAACUAACAAAUACCUAUCGGACAACACUGUUUUUUAAUUACUGAAGCAAUUUUCUAAUGAUGAAGAAUAAAAUUCAAAAUUAAAAUACUUAAUUAAAAAAAUUAACAAAAAAAUCUAAGUAAAUCUGAGUCAAUGUAUUAAACCCGCGAUGUGGGUUAUCUAUUUCACUGGACGUAAAAAAUCUAAAAAUAAAAAACAAACAUGACAUGCCUGUGGGAUUAAAAAAAAGACAUUUAACUAACAAAGGUUUUUUAUUUUUUUUUCUUGAGGGGGGCUGAAAAUGCAUUAAGUAAAAAAAGCAUUUUUAAAAAAAUUAACAAUCCGUCCAGGAGCCUGACCCACCCACGCAUCUGACCUAUAAAAAUAGAAAUUGAAAAUAAAAAUACUCAUUGGAAAAAAUGGUUUUAAAAAGAUAAGAAUGAACUUGAGUUAACUUUUUAUACUCACAACACCCCCACUGAAUUUAAUAACAUAUUAUUUAUUAAGUUAUUUUUCAUUUACUACACAACAAUCAAGGAUGCAAGAUGUUUUUUUGUACCAAAUAAAAAAAAUAAAUAGGACAGGCGCGUGGGACAAAACAACGGCCAAAUUUUUGUAAGUUCAAUAAGAAAAAAUGGUUUUUUAUAAGCUAAUUAAAAAAUAAAAAAAAGAAGUCAUAUGCAUUACCUAAGCAAUGACCCAAAAAGCAUACCAAACAAAGUGAGUAUAUAAUGUGUAUAUCUAAGUAAUUCACUUAAUUUAACUAAAAAAAACAAAACUUCUUUUAUAAGAAAAGCUAAAUUUAACAAAGAAAAACAAAAAAAACCUGACCUAAGUUAUUUUUAAAAUUAGUCAAAAAACCCUAUAGACAACAAAUAAAAAACAAACAAACUCAAUCUCCAAUUAAAUCAAAUGUUGAAGGAUAAAACUAAAAAACAUGAGCUUAAAAAAAAGCAAAAUGAACCAGAGCAAAUAUUCUAAAUCUAGGUUAAUCUCUUAAAUUCAUAACCUAUUAAAUUCUAGAUCUAGGUUUCAUAAAGAAGUUUGAUUUAAUGUUGAAGGAUCAAAUAAAAAAAAAACAUUGUAAAAUUUUUUGUCAAAGCAAAAAAAGAAGCAAUAAAAAAAUGAAGGUGGAUGAAAUCAUAAAAAAAAAAUCAAUUUUAAAAAUGAUCUCAAAUAAAAUAAAUAACAAUAAAAAAAUAGGUAUUAAAUUUGAUAAAUUAAAAAAAUUUAAAGGAAAAAAAAAUUGAAAAUAAAUUUUGAUUUUACAAAAUAAUUAAAUGAAAUUUUUUUUGAAAAAAUAAGAACUAAAUCAAAAGAAAAAACAAAUUUAAUGGCUACUGUGAAAUUUUAAUUUCAAAUGCAAUAUAAUCAUUUUAUUGUACUAUAAAAUAUAAAAUAUAUAAAUCGUCCCUGAAUCUAAGGAAAUCGUCCCUGAAUCUAAAAAAAGCAUUUAAAUAAUUAAAUUGAAUAAUAAAUGAAAAGACCAAGAAACCCAUCAUUAUUUUUAUAAUGACCAAUUGAGCAUGUAAAAUGACCAUAUUACCCCUAAAGCGACUAAAUUUAAUAAUUAUGAAAGAUCUAUGCUAUUAAUUUUAGGAAAAACAUUUAAUUAAAUUGAACAUAGACUGUGGACAGUUAUGUUGUCUAGAUUUAUCAACCUAUCUAGUUCUUAAGGCUAUCAUUGAAUUAAAUUGCUAGUGCGGGCGUAAUGGUUUGUUUAAUAGUUAGGUUAGUUAUACUGCGGAUCGGUUAACUCAUUAAUAUUAAGAAAAGAUAAAUAUUUAAAAUAUAAAUUGAUGAAUCGUUUCAAUAAUCAUAUGAGCAACCAUAGGGCUCGAACCUGAGACCACAGAGGGAGCAAACCCCUUAGUCCCAAGCUCUUACCACUGGGCCACCACCUAGAUGGUUCCCUCUCUGUUUUCUUGUUCUCCCUCCUUCUUGUUCUCUCUGCCAGUUCCUCCUCCAAGUUUUUUUUGUUGUUUCCCCCUCCUCCCCGUGACCUUUCGUUCUCUGGCUUUUAUAGCCAGAGAACAAUGUUGUUUCUUCCAGCCAUUAAUUGCAGGUGUAAUGGUAGUGGUGGGCGUCCGUUGAAGAAGAUGAACAUCGCUUGGCAAAACGGCGUUGUUUUGGUGUUAAUGGUUAUUUGCGUUUUGGCCCUUGAAGUUUUAAAAGUUUUGUAAUUAAGCCCCUAGUUAAAUUGUAAUUGGACCCCUACAUGUCGGCGCCUUUUACAAGUUGGUCCUUAUCCUUUAAUCUGUUGCAAUUGUGCCCCCAAUUAACCCCAAACUUUGAUAUUUCUUCAAUUAAGUCCCUGAUUUCAUUAAUUAAAUUAAUUCUAAGCUCAAUUAAGUCUCAAAACUUAUCAAUUCUCCAAUUAAACCAUUGAUUUGAUUAAUUAAACUAGUCAAGAGUUUAAUUAAAUCUUUAAACUUCCAAUCAUGUUGCCCUUAACUCAAAUUUUAAUUCAUUCAUUAUUUAUUUCAUUUUUUAUUUUUUUUUCAUCAUCAUUUUUUCAUCAUUUUUUUUAUUAUCAUUUUUCAGUAAAUAAAAUAAUAAUAAUAAUUAAAAUAAAAGGGUUAAAAAUUGGAUUAUGACAGUCAUGUUCAACAGUAAAAAGUGGUUGCUGGAGUGGUUGUAAAUUGGCUUGACCUGGCCUAUUAAACCAGAACCCGACCAUCAAUCUGACUUAAUCCAUAUGACUGACGCAAACUAAAGGAUGAUGUAAGCAUGACAUCAUCAUUCCACAACAGAUGUCUAGUUAGUGUCCAAUCAGUAGGUCCAGUUAAUAUUCGAAGGAUGAUCUAAAGUUCAUUUUGGUGGGUGAUGAAGUUGAAGAAGAAGGUGUACAUGUUAACUCAACUCAAUGUGAGUGCUGGAUUGCCAUGGGAGAAGUAAUUUGAGAAGUCAACCUUAUCAAAAUGAAUUUGGCAUGAUUAAUUGAAUGGUGGGAAAUAUAAUAAAAAUGCUAGUAAAUUAUAUACUCUUGAUUAAUUUUUUGAUGUUAAUAAAAUAUUUAUAAUUUAAAUCAGUGAUAAAGGGGUUAGUUGAAAAAUAAAAUGAAAUAGAAUUGAAUCAUUAAAAAAUAAAUUUUUAAAAGAGAUUUUCUCGGAUGUUAUUUUAAAAGUGGAUUAAGAAAAGGCAUUGAUUAAAUCAAUAAGUACCCAAACAUCACAAAAUGGUGUUUUGGCAAAUAUGGAUAUGUUUGCUACAUAAAUAGCAAAAUUAUGCACAAAAUCCUCAUUAUGGCCAAAUGGAUAAGUUUGCUACUGUCAGGUUAAUUUAGCGCUUCCAAGAGUUAUGAGAUAUCAUUAUUCUUGCUGAUUUCGAGAUUUUAUUUAUAUGUAAUGAACUGGUCGACUGGUUAAUAAAUUUUAGAAACCGACUCAUUUUCUAUUAACCGGCUGAUUUCGAGAUUCUGUUUAUAUGUUUUUCAGUCCAUUAGCUAGCAGACCCUAAAAUCAUGUUACAAGAUUAAGCCUCUAGACUACAAUUACGCAAAUUAGAGAAAAACAAAUCUGUAGUGUUGGGAUGCCAUUUAGUUUUUAGCUAAAUGCAAGAAACUCAACCUUAUAAACAGAGCCAAAACCACCUUGCCCGAGUUUGUUAGCUGGAGAGAAAUUGUUAGUGGCAGCCGUUAUGGUGCUGAGCUUGAAAUAUUCAAAUUCAGUAGAAGUGCUGUUUACCUGCAGUUCAGUACCUUUUUUUGCUCUCUUCUUGAGCCACAAAUAAGCAAACAGGCUAAUGAGAAACCACAAUAAUGCAAUUGAUGGAGCUAAAACGGCCAGCAUCGUUUUUUCACGAGAAUCAUUUGACUUCCUUGUAGUGUCAGCUGCAUGAGAGUGAAAAGAAUAAAGAUUAACUGUAUAGGAAAAACCACCCCAUUUUCCAAUGGAAAUAUGACAAUACAUAUGGCAAAGGGUAGUCCUUUGGGCACCUAAAACGUACCAAUAUCUAUGGUUUCUUUCCUGCAGUCAAGAGCUUAUUAACUACAGUCAAGAGCAGUGACAAGCAUAGGAAAGCUCUUAUAAAUCAAUAUUUGUAAUGACAGUCCUAUGAAGUAGUUACUGAGCAGAAAAAGGGUACCUAAUUCAUAUGCAUCAAGACGAACAUACAUAUCAUCACUUUCAGUGAUGGAGCCAAAGUUUUUUAAAUGAAAAGACAAAUUAUUAACAAAUACUAUAUUAUGUAAACAUGCAUUAAAAAUCAAUUCGAAACAAAUAUACUAACUCAUAUAAAGCAAAAUUAACAUCAUAAAAUGGAUCAAUCUCAAGCUAAAACAAUUUUAAUUCUGCAAAUAUCAAUCUUUAUUUUCUAACAAAAAAAUACAAAUGUUUAGUUUCAUAUCAUAACCAAUUCAAUUGGAAAUGAUAUAACCUUUAAUUAAUUCAAAACAAUCAAAUCAAUUCCUAUUAUUCAAAAUCUUGGAGUCUAAUCCACUAUCAUUCAUCUUUAAUUGAUUCAAAAUAUUAUAUAUAUUAAAACCUCUAAAUUAUUAUAAAUUUUAACAUUUUCAAUAAUUAUUUAUAAAAAAAUAAAACUAAAAUUAAAUAAUUAAACAAAUAAAAAAGAUGAAAAAAUAAAACUAAAAUUAUAUAUCAUUUUCAAUAAUAUAUAUAUUAAAACCUCUAAAUUAUUGAUUCAUCUUUAAUUGAUUCAAAAUAUUAUAUAUAUUAAAACCUCUAAAUUAUUAUAAAUUUUAACAUUUUCAAUAAUUAUUUAUAAAAAAAUAAAACUAAAAUUAAAUAAUUAAACAAAUAAAAAGAUGAAAAAAAAUUCCCUAAAGUUGCUUAACUAGACUUCAAAAAAUAUUUAUAUAAGGAAGAGAGCAGCUAAAAAAAAAGUAGAAAAACUCUUGAAUAAUUAGCGGGAAAAAAAAGAGAGAAAAGUUUGGGGGAAAUGAGAAAUAAGCCGGAGUGCUGCACACAUAUUAUAUAUAUUAUUUAUUAUAUUAAGAUAAGUCAACAAUAAUAAUUGUGUAUAUCAACCCCUCACUAUAUUAUUAUAUUAAUAUUUUAAUAUAAAAAAUAUUUAAAAAAAAUUAAAAAAGCAAUUGCCCUUUUUUGUUUCUACGUGACUCCGCCAUUAAUCACUGUCACUCCUAUCAUAAUUAAUGUCUACUAAUUCCUUGUACCAUGUCAAACAGCCAUAAUUUUUUCCGGGAAUUGCAAUGAUUGCGUAUGCAGAGCAUGAACAAUUCCUCUUGCAUUGCACUUCACAGUCUGCACGACUCUUGCGUCCACCCAACUCCCAAGCUGCAGCUGAAGUGUCCGGAAGAAGUACAUUUUCCACCUUCACAAACCCGUCUCCAUGAUCGCACACCGAAGAUGCUUUGUUCCUUUUCUUUCCGGGUUGCAUUUGAAUGGAAUUUUAUCAAUGGGUGGUGGUGUGUUAAGAAAAUCCCACAUCUUAAGUUUGUGCUUAAUUUUGAGUGUUGAUCAAGUAAUAAAACAUUCAACGAUAGUUAUCCCCAACAAAAAAAUUAUAAUAUUCUAAUGAGAAUUUAAUUAAAGUACUACGAAUAAGAUGUGUCGAUCAUGUUAAUCUUGUUCUUAGAAGGAUUAUUGAAUUGUUAUAAGUGUUAUAUAUUUAAGAUAUUCAUAUAUUGAAUUGUAGAUUGAAUUCUGUCAAUUUAAGAAUUUUUUUUUAAGUUUGAUUUUAAUCUAUAAUAAACUAGUUGGAUAUAAUAUAUAUUAUGGUUAUAUCCAAGAUUUUUGAUGAUUAUUUAAGACAUGAGUUCUCUAAUAUACCUCAAAUUUACUAGAAUAAUGAUAUUAUUAAAGAUGAUGGUUUUUGACAUAUAUUUAGUAAAGUAAUUGGCCAUAUUCUUAGUUUAUUGUGUUAUGAGAGAUAUUGAAAUUGAUUUGUGCUACAAAAUCAUAAAUCAUAUAAUGGAGGGUAUGAUUAGUUUUAAAUCCAAAAAAUAAACUAUUUAAUUUUUUUAUUUAAUCAAGCUAACUUUCUGUUUUUUUAUUUAGUUUUUUCAAUCAUCAUUCAUCUAGUUGAAUUGAUUUUUUUUCAAAAUAAGGAGUUUUACAAGGACUAAAUUGCAUAAAUGUUAAGGGUGCAAUUUCAUAUUUUAGAUUAGGACACACUAUGCUUAAUUGCUAAUUCCUGAGAAAGUAUUUUAAUUCAUUGCAACCAUUCGUGCUUUUCAGUCCAAGUUUUGUACAGUUGUGAGACCCUUUUGCUUACGGUAAGUGAAAAUAUCAUAAUCCCAAUUAUGAGUCUGAUGAAAAUAAUAUUUAUUUACUAUUCUAAUAUUUAUUUUAUUUUAUUUUAUUAGUUAUGUCAACUUAAUUUAUUAUUUAAAACAAUUUUAUACUUUAGUGGCAUUCCAUAAUUGAUAUUCAAAAUUUAUUAAUUUAGAAUUUUUUUUAUUGUUUAAGAAACUUUGAUUUAUUAAUUUCCCAAUGCACUGCAUCACUUGAACUUUAUUCUUUACGCUUUUCUUUCAAGUGGGCAGCAUAAGAAGAUGAACAUGAUACAAGCAUCAAAACUAAUCAAUCAUUAAUGUAAGAUUCAACACAUAUUAGAAGAUACCAUAGUUAUUAAACCCGGUUCGAGGAUUGACUCGGCCAAGAGACCAGGUCUCGGGUUUUAUAGGUGAACCCAAAAAUUCACUCAUUUUUCUUUCUUUUGAAAGUUGUUGACAACACUUAAGAAAAUUAAUAUUCCCACAACUUUGUAAUUUACCUUUCCCAACCAAAUGGCUCCAAAAGCUACGGGGAAUGCCCCACAUUGCAAUUUAAUAUAUUUCCUGAUCAACUAAAAAUUUUGAAGGAAAGACACACAAAACAUAAACUUUUCCCUGUCUCUACCAAAUAAAACAACAAGCCGCCGCUUGCCCUGCUUUUAGAUUUUCUCUCCCAAAACCAGCCAAAGCUUCCCUUUUUGCUUAGCCAAAACAGGUGCCAUGAUGCGUGACUGACUAUCAAAAAUUGGAAGAUAAAAGACAUUCUCUUCCCUUCUUUCUUCACUCUCGUUCUAGAAGGCAUUCCGUCAAGCAGCAUGGGAUGAAGACCCCGACCACAACUUCCCUCAUCCCUCUCUCAGUCAUCCCCCUGGUUUUUUGGCCAGAACUAGAGAGCUUCUCCUUCUUCUUUCCCAGCCACCUCCAUCUCUUGGCCAAACCAGAACCGCCGCCCACUGAUACAGGAGACCAGCCCGACCAGCCUCCAACGACAGCGUCCCUCACUCUCCUUUCCUCUCUGCUGCUGCUAACAAUAACUCAUUGUAGAGAAGAUGAUGAAAUAAGAAGAGAGGCCGAAGGACAGAAACCACAUUUGAAAAGGGAAAAAAACCCGGGUCUCGUCCGGGUUCGCCCGGGUCAUGGGUCGACCGGGUUUUGCCGGGUUGUUGCACCAGCCGAUCCUUUAACAAACCCGAAACCAGUCUAGGUCUUGGGUCGGCCGGGUCCCGGGUCAACCCGUCGGGCCGGUCCGAGUUUAAUAACUAUGGAAGAUACUAUUAUUUUUUAAUAUUAAGAUAAUAAUAUAUUAAAAUUUAUUUUUUAAAUAUUAAAAUAACAUAUUAAAUAGAUGUGGAUAAACCUGAUCAAUCAUUUAAAUUUGCAAUCAAUAUGACAACCUCAUAAAUAAAAAAUUGAACAAAUAAUUAUGUUCAAUCAAAAAACAAUUUAAUAAUGAAGAAUAAAAUUUAAAAUUUAAAUAUUUAAUUAAAAAAAGUUAAAAAAAAAACUCAAGUAAACCCGAGUCAAUUUAUAUUUCACUAGACUUAAUAAUAUAUUUUUUUCUCUUAAAUUAUUUUGUAUUUAAUUACACAACUAAAAAAAAAUCUAAAAAAUAAAAAAGAUGGCAUGCAUGUGGGAUUUUAAAAAAAGGGCAUUUAACUAACAAAGGUUUUUUUUUUUUUUUAUCUUCAGGGGGCGAAAAUGCGUUAAGUAAAAAAAAGGAAUUUUCAAAAAUUAAUAAUCCAUCUAGGUGCAUGACCACCCAUACACCUACCUAUAAAAAUAGAAAUAAAAAAAAAUUAUUCAAUGAAAAAAAAAGUUUAAAAAUAAUAGAAAUAUACCUUAGUUAACCUAUUAUACCUGCGAUUUGGGUCAUACAUCCCAUUGGAUUUAACAAUAUAUUAUUUAUUAAGAUAUUUUUCAUGUUGUUACACAAUAAUCAAGGAUGCAAGAAGCUUUUUUUUUUUUGUAUCAAAUAAAAAUAAAACAAAUAGGACAAGACAGGCACAUGGGACAAAACAAUGGCCUAUUUUUUAAUGUUAAAUAAGAAAAAAAAACAAAAUAUCAUAAAGUAAAUAUAUCAUGUUUAUAUUUAUGCAAUUCACUUAAUUUAACUAAAAAAAUAAAACUUUUUUUUUUUUAAGAAAAGUUAAAUUUAAUAAAGAGCAACAAGAAAAAAAGAACCUAAGAUAACUUAAGUUAUUUUUAAAAUUAGUAAAAAGACCUUGUAGACAACAAAUAAAAAAAAAAACAAAACCCAAUCUUCAAUUAAAUUAAAUGUUGAAGGAUAAAACUAAAAAUCAUUACCUAAAAAAAAAACAAAAUGAACCGGAGCAAAUCGUCUAAAUCUAGGUUAUUCUCUCAAAUUCAUAACCUAUUAAAUCCUAGAUCUAGGCUCAAUAAAGAAGUUCAAUCAAUGUUGAAGGAUAAAAUAAAAAAAUAUAUAUUGUAAAAAAUUUAUCGAAACAAAACAAGCAGCAAUAAAAAGAUGAAGACGGAUGAAAUCGUAAAAAAAUUAAUUUUAAAAAUGAUCUCAAAUAAAACAAAUAGCAGUAAAAAAAUGAGUACCAAAUUUGAUAGAUUAAAAAAAUUUAAAGGAGAAUGAAAUUGAAAUGAAAUUCUGAUUUUACAAAAAAUCAAAUGAGAAAAAAACCAAUUGUAAGAAUAAGAACCAAAUUAAAAGGAAGGACAAAUUUAAUGGCUACUAUGAAAUUUAUGAAAUUUUAGAAGGCUGGCAUAAAAAAAAAAGAAAAAAAAAAGAAGAAAAGUCAAUUGAAGCCAAACUGAAUGACCUACAUCAAACUUGCUGCUUAAGGAGGUGGAUCGCCCUAUGAUGAAUAAAAAAAAAAAACAAACAAACAAAGCCAUUUUUGGUAAUUGUAAGCCGCCAUACAUACAAACUUGCUGCUUAAACAUGAAUGAAUACAUCAACCAUUUUUGUUUUUUAUAUAUAUUUAUAUAAAAGGAAAGUAUAAAUUAGCUCUAUAGGUGAGGUUAGAAAAUUUUAAUUUCAAAUGCAAUACAAUUAUUUUAUUUUAUUGUGCUAUAAAAUAUAUAAAACGCCCCUAAACCUAAGGAAUAUAGUUUUUUUUUUUUUUUUUGCUUGUAAAAGCAUUUAAAUAAUUAUACUAUAUAAAAAAAUGAAAAGACCAAGAAGGCUAUAAUUAUUUUUAUAAUGAUAAAUGGAACAUGUAAAAAGAUUGCAUUACCCCUGAGAGAUAGGCAAAGUUUUGCGGUUGAGAAGGGUAAAAUAGUAAAUUUAUUAUUAUAAUCUAUAAUAAUGAAAGACAUAUCUAUAGUAAUUUUUACAUGGGGUUUAGGUUUUUGUUAAUUCUACAUAGAAAUCAGGAGGAGUUGGUGUAUUUACAGUAAUCAUUUAACCGGCGGCUAUGUAUCAUAUAUUUUUUAGAACAUUAUUCUGAUAUUUGAUUUCAAACAUGUUGGAAGUAAAAAUGGACAAACGGGUAAAAGGGAGAAAAUUGACAUUGAAAUUGUGGGAUCGGAUAAUUGGUCUUUUCAAUGCAUUUUUCAAUUUUUUUAUAUAUAAAAUGCUUAAAAAACUGGAAAGAGAGUUUUCCAUUUUCUUGGGCCAUGGUCCAGACAUGCUCAAAUUCUUAUAACUAUGUAAAAGAUUUCAAAAGCUUUGUUUUCGUUAGGGUAAAAAGUUCAUACCCGUCAGAGUUGAGAAGGGGACCAAAAAUUGUGACCGUUCUUGUUCCAACUGUGGGUUCAACAUGGCUGAUCAUUAGCAUAUUUGGUUAUUUGUGGCUCAGGAACAGAGGAGAAAAAGGCAAAGACAAAGCAAGCAUCAAAACAGAAGGUAGAUAGAGUAACUAUCCGUAAAAGAAUAGUUGACGAACACCACACCUAUAGCAUAACAUAUGAUGAUGCUGUUAGAUUCUUCCUUGACACUAGGCAGAAUGGAUCAGUUGCUUAGAAUCAGGUUGGGAGUUUUAGCAGUGCUGAAGAGCUUGAUCUGUUGUGAUGUACAAUAUAUUUGUUUUCAUUAUAAAUCUAAUUGAACUUCAUAUUAUCAAUUUUUCAGACAGUACAGCUUCAGCGACAGGCAAUAUCAGUAAUUGUCACCUCAUUUAGAGAAUACUGUCCAUCUUCUAUGUCUACUGCUAUAUCAGGAUUAUUGUCAGAUUUUCUGAAGAGGAAUGCAGGUUGUUUUGGAGAAGGAAUCUCUGUCUCACUACUCAACAUAAAAACAACCGCCAACAUAGAUGGUCUGUCCGUGGCAUCUUCUUGCACGCACAGCAGACCAAUCUGCAUGCAUUUCAAAGCUUCACGCGGAUCAUACAACUCCGUCAGUGAUGGAUCAACUAUCUCCAAUGCUUUUUCUUCUCUCCAUAAUUCCCACACCUGUAUUGUUCAUAUAAAUCAUUAACAUACAAGAAAUAAGAGCAGACAACAUCUAAAAUUGUGAACAUUGAAAUUCAGCCAAGAGCACCAAAGGCUAUCUUAUAACUCACAUAUCCAAUCAAGGUCAAAGGAGGAUUCUGUUGAUAAAAUCUAUUGUUCUUCCUGCCACUAACAAUCUCUAGCAACAUGACCCCAAAACUGAAAACAUCUGAUUUUGCGGAAAAGUUUCCAAACACAACAUAUUCUGGUGACAUAUAGCCACUGCAUCAGAAAAACAAUAGUAGUUUUAGUAUUCCUGGUAAUCAAUGAUAGUACUUUGUCACUCGGUCUUUGUUUUAGGCGAAGGUACUUACUAUGUUCCCACAACUCUCCUUGUCCUGUCUUCAGUUCGGUUGCCUUCAAAUAUUUUUGCCAUUCCAAAAUCUGAUAUUUUUGGGUUCAUAUCUGCAUCCAACAGAAUGUUGCUGCAUUUUAAAUCCCUGUGAAUGAUUCUCAACCUGGAGUCUUGGUGAAGAUAUAAAAUCCCACGAGCAAUUCCAACAAUAAUAUCAAAGCGUUUUCGCCAAUCCAAUAACAAUCUUCUGCUUUCAUCUGUUGAAACAAUUAUUUUUCAGACAGGUAUAAUUUGACAACUAGUGUAAAUCAGGGCAGUAAAUACUUAAAAAGACUUACCGAAGAGAAACGAGUCCAAGCUUUUGUUAGGCAAGUAUUCAUAGAUUAACAUUUGUUCUCCAUCCUGAGUGCAAUAACCUAGAAGUUUCACCAGAUUCCUGUGUUGAAGCAUUGCAAUUACCAUAACUUCAUUUUUAAAUUCUUCUGUUCCUUGUCCUGAACUUCUAGACAACCUUUUUAUUGCAACCUCCUUUCCAUUAGCUAGCAGACCCUAAAAUCAUGUUACAAGAUUAAGCCUCUAAAUUACAAUUCUUGAUAUCAACCUGAAGAGCUUGAUCUGUUGUGAUGUACAACAUAUUUGUUUUCAUUACAAAUCUAAUGGAACUUCAUAUCAGCAAUUAUUCAGACAGUACAGCUUCAGCGACUAGCAAUUUCAGAAAUUGUCACCUCAUUUACAGAACACUGUCCAUCUUCUACGUCUAAUGCUAUAUCAGGAUUAUUGUCAGAUUUUCUAAAGAGGAAUGCAGGUUGUUUUGGAGACGGAAUCUCUGUUUCACUACUCAACAUAAAAACAACAGCCAACAUAGAUGGUCUGUCCGCGGCAUCUUCUUGCACGCACAGCAGACCAAUUUGUAUGCAUUUCAAGGCUUCACGCCGAUCAUACAACUCCGUCAGUGAUAGAUCCACUAUCUCCAAUGCUUUGUCUUGUUUCCAUAAUUCCCACACCUGUGGUGUUCAUAUAAAUCAUUAACAUACAAGAAAUAAGAGCAGACAACAUCUAAAAUUGUGAACAUUGAAAUUCAGCCAAGAGCACACAUGGCUCUCCUAUAACUCACAUAUCCAAUCAAGGUCAAAGGAGGAUCCUGUU